rnacentral:lncRNA from 1 species
UCCAGCACCCCUUGCACGGCAGGCGUCGGCCCGGCUUGCCGCGCCUGCUGGAGCUCCUUCCGGAGCCGCUGCAGCUCGGUGCGCUGCUCCUCUGCCUACCGCCGCUCCGCGCCCAGUUCCGCUACCACGCGGGCGUGGUGCUGCUGCGCGUCGUUGAAGAAAUCAACGUACAUCUGCUGUUGUUGCUGGAUGUUGUUGAUCACUUGGUGUCCCUGCUGGAACACGCUGGGAUCGAAAGUAAUCCGACCCCAUGUCCGCCCGGCGAGCUCCCCUGCUCCCGGGCUGAAGGCGGCUCCGGCGGAGGAGGAGGACCCCACCGCAAACGUCUGUGAUCCUGAGGGCACGUCGGGAUUUGAUGACGCGCCCCUGGCCUGGCCAAGCCCUGCUGCUCCUUGCAUGUCCAAAGGGGCGGGCUGGGGGCUCGGGGGCUUCUCCAGAGCACCGCCGCCUGCUCCGGCUGGCGGAGGCUGCUUCGUGUCACCUGCCACAGAUGGCGCCCCCUGCGCGGUGUCGCCUGCGGCUGCAGUCGCGGCCCUGGCAGGCGCCAUGGCCAAUUGCUGAAGGGUCCGACGGAGACAACCUCCGCCGGAGCGUCGUCAUCGACCUCGCCAGUGAGGUCGAUUACCCGCACCUUGAUGGGCGUGGGCACAGCCGGAACAUCCCCGGCAACUGCAAGAAGAGCACCUGCGUCAAGUAUGGGAGAUGGCGUGGAUGGGUAAAGGAAACGUUCGAACUCACACGUACCUGCCGCCGGGCCAGUGCCCUGUGAGCUCGAAUCGGGGACCCUAGAGUCCCCAGCGGCGGCAGUCGCCGACACAACCGCCGCAUCAGCGGCAUCCUGGUCGCCACCGCCCGAAGUCGGGCAGGGCUUCUUGGUCGGGGCUGCCGGCGAUGUGCUGGUUUGCCCCCUCUUCCUCGAAGAACUGGAAAAUACAAAAACAAGUUAAUCAGGCAUGCAAAUUUUUUACGAAAUCUGAGGUGUUCAGAACAACAUUGAACUCACCCCGCCGGUAUGAGCUUGAGCACCCUAUCCUCCAAGAAGCUCCUCCCCGGAGGGCUGCUUCGCGCGGGGGGAGCUGGCGGAGUCGCCGGGAUAGCCGGAGCAGCCGCUGCGGCCGCAUCGCUUCCGCCAGAGGCCCCAGCCCCCACGUCGCCGUGAGGCUCCUGAGGCUGCAGGCUGGCCUCCUGCCUGCCCGCCUGCUCCACCGCAGACCGCCUCACCAGUGGGACGUCGUCUUCCUCAUCGUCCUCCUCUGGCGCAACCCCGCUGCCUGCCGGGGGAGCGUUGUUGUCGUCGUCGUCGUCGUUGAGGUCUCCUCCGACACCCAGCGAGGAGUCGUCGGAGUCCGAGCCCUCUGCCCUGGCGGAGGCCUGGCCUUGGCCCCCCUUCCCCGAGUCGGCAGCUGGCUCCUGGCCCCUGCGGGGCCUGGGCGGCGGGGGGGAGGGUUGCGCCGAGGGGUCCUCCAUGAUCCCCCACUCGUCACAGAGUGGGAGAUCCCGGGCUCCCGGGUUCAGGAUCCCAGCGUGGAGCGAGUGCGCUCCAAGCGGGGGCAGCCGGUAGGCUUCGUCCUCGCCGGUGAUGCCCUUCACCCAGAAUUGCACUUCCUUCGGGAGGAGGUCGGUGCGCUGCAGCCGGGUCCGGUCGCCGUACCCGGUGUAAAUCCAUGCCGGAUGUGAGCGCCGCUGCAGGGGAGCCACGCGCCUCCCGAUGUGAAGUGGCACACCACAUCCGUGUCUGUGAGCCCGGCCUCAUGGAGCGCCUUAAUCUUGGCACAGAUUGGGGCCAGCUCCUCGUCCUUCUGGUCGCGGAGCGUCCAAUCGUCAGAGCCCUUCGGAGGCCUGAGGGGUUUCCCGUGGAACUCCUGGAGAUCGUCGGUGUGCACCCAGCACCAGUCGCGGCGCCACUCGUGCUCGAUCUUCUUCUUCCCUAGCUCGAUGAACUCGGAUUUGAUCCUGUCGCGGAAUCGGAACACCACUCCCGAGGACAGGGGAGCCUUUUUCUCCACCCUCGAGUAGUAGUAGUGGCGAAACAGAGCCACCGACGGCAUCACCCCCACGAACGCUUCACAAAGGUGUUGGAAGACAGGAAAUGUGAAGAACAACGUGGGCUGAAGCUGCGCCUUGAUGAGCCCGUAGGUCUCCAUGAUGGCUGAAAGGAAGAAAGAGUGCGGUGGCACAAACCCGGCUAGGAUCAAUCUCCCAAAGAUCCGGAAGUAUUGUGGGUCGGGCUCCGCACCGACGGGGAGAACCCACGUCGGCCCGUACUCGUUGUGCUUGGUGGCAAGCGCCAAGACCAGCUUGUCUACCCCCUCGCUGUUGUAUGCGGGGGGGGGGGGGGGGAAGAAGGCGAACUUAGCCUGCAUUUCCUCAUCCUUCCGGGCUCGGUCAGACAGCUCCUUCUUGCUGACCUUCUCACGCUUUUCCCCUUUCCUGAUGUUCCCCUUGGGACGGUUCUGGCCCUUGGAAGACAUCGGCGGAGGUGGAGAGGUGAUUUGGUUGGAGUUCGGGCGCGGAGAGCUUGGGAGGAGGCAAUGGCAGGAGCAAGAGGCAAUGGGGAGUGCCUGCCGCCAGCCUUGGGUAUUUAUCGGGGCUGGCGGGCUGCAACUGACACCCCCACGAUCGGCAAUAAAGUGCCCUAAAGAAUCGGAGAUUAAGAGGGGGGUGCGCGACGUGGCCUGAACUCUCUAGUGAUUAAGGGGGAUAAGGCACAAAAUCGUGCGCCCGACCGUUUCGCUCGGAGGAGUGGAGCCAUAAAUGCGGCCCGCGAGGCUGGGUGCCAGGGGGACUCCCCUUGGGACCCAAGCGUCGGAUAGGCAUAGCCCGGCAACCGACCGAGGAUAGCACUUGCUGGGAGCUUCAAGACUGCCGGCCCACGCCCGGGGGCUACUGUCGUACCAGUGGCCCACGGGGUCCCACUGAUACGGGACGCGUGGGUCGCCAGUGACGAGGCCCCGUCAGGAAGGCCUCCCGGUAAGCAACGGUUCCGGGAAGCCUACCUCAAGGAGACGGUACUUGGUGGAGGUGAAGCCAAGGGCAGAAUAUAAGAAGCCCCCGGGAAUCCCGGUCCCGGGAAGCAGAAGAAACGCCUCCUGGCAACUAGCCGGGUGCGCUAGCCAGGAAGGGGCACCCCAGCAACCCACGCUCGGGCAUGCAGGCGGGGCCAGCAAAACAGUGAAGAAAGGAUAAGACGGCGGGCGCAGUGCAUUUAAUGCACCGACAUGAGUCUUAUUAGCAAGCCUAGUCAUGCCUAGUCUUGCUUAGCAAGGCUAGGGCGACUACUCUAUGAGGCAUUUUUUCUACCGCGUACAGUGGACCGGGUGUUGCAUGGCGUCCGGCAUGGAUCAGCGGGAGUACUUUUCAUAUGCUGUGACACACGUCUAGGAGACGUGUCACGCUGCAUGCAUUGACACAUGUGGUAUCCCCUUGUUUAUAAAAGGAGGACCGAUGCCACCAGUCAAAGGGUUCUAUUCGGUUCCGAUCAGUCUUAGUUUGAGCCCUAGUUAGAACCAUCACCAAGUAGCUCCCUGGGAACUCCCGGGACACUCUAUAAGGCACGUUCGUAAUCUUGAAUACAGCAAAAAGCAGGACGUAGGGUGUUACACCUCCAGGUGGCCCGAACCUGGGUAAAUUUAAAUGUCCACACUUCGUGUCUAUCGUCACGCCGGCGAUCGCCGGAGCAAUCGCCUCGCCCUCCACCGAACCAAAAAAGGGGGUGCUCGGCAUCCCCGGUGCCGGAGACCCGUGCUCCGACACCCGGGGUAACCAAAGACUGAAUUGGGUUCCUAUUUAAUUACUUCCAGUACAACCACAUGCUAUAUGGGCUCUGGCGAGAAUAGAAUAUGUUGUAUGAACCUAGACCCGAAGAAUUGUAAUGAUGUAGCAGUGUAGGUGGAGCGUGAUUCCCUCGUGGUCUAGGGAAUUACUUCUGAAAAUCUCGUAAUCGACACCGUUGCUACUCUACCCUGAGGACAGCAAGGGAUUAACCCGUCGGUUUCUUGUGGAGAUUGUGUACAACCUCUCGAGAGUGUCAAAACUAAGUACUUAGUCGUGUCCCCGGUUAUGGACGAAUUAUGAGCAACUAGAUACGGAAACUAAGUAAGGUCUCACUCAUUCAAAUUUCUAAAUAAAAUGAAUGGUUUAAACUUGGAUUAGGAGCAUUGAUGUGUCUACUCAAUGUCCUUAGUUUUAAUUGGAGCAUCGGUGUGUCUACCCGAUGUCCAUUAGAUUUAUCUUACUAUAAAAUUCAAUUGUAGUAGGAUAAAGUUUAUUUUAAUUGCUUCUACGCCAAAAAGCCUAAACUCCAGAUAGCCAAUAUUGCAUAUAAUUGAUAGGAUCUGUUAUAAACUCCGGUGAACUUGCCAAUACAUUCAAUGUAUUGACCCUAGUGGCUGCAAUCUUUAAAAUUGUUGCAGGAAAUUCCGACGACGAGUAAGGUUACGUUGUUAGGUCACGAGCCUGCAUUCCAACAUGCGCUCUCUGUGGUGUUGCAAUGGCUCAAUUUUUCCUUCGCUUUCCGUUGAUGAAUAAUUUAUGUUAUUUUUCAUUGCUAACCCGAGUGGUUAUGCAAAGUUGUAAGUACUAUAAAGUUUCGAAUGAUGAUGAUGUAAUAAAUUACUUAACCUUUGUUUCUCGAUAUUACAUCUUGAACUGUGUGUGCUAGUGAGUCGAUCCAGGGACUAACACUAUAAGCACAGAGAUCAAAUCCUGUACGGGGACGGUCGCUUCAGAUGGUAUCAGAGCACUGUGUUGCCUGUAGGAACGUGACCCUAGCAUGGAAAAAGACUAAGACCAGCCCUUAGGACAUGUGCAUUUCAUAUUCAUUACUGCAUGCAUGUCUUGUUAUUAUUUUCUUUGCAAUCACAUGUCAUACCACCAGAAUAUUCAUGCAUUUUACCGAUUCAUCUAUUUUAUUUUUAUUUUAGUACGCCUGCAUGUCAUUCUGCAUAAAACACUCCAUGUUAUAUUCAAUUGCCACCAUGCAUUGCAAAUUUACAUACACUCAAUGCCAUUAAUUUCGUUCCACCAUAAUGUCAUAUUUAAUUACUUUCUAUGCAUCCACGCAUUGAUCAUGUCAUUAACAUUCUCUCUCUCUACUCUUUUUCUGUAGAUGGACAACCCACCACAGUUUGGCAACGUUCUGCCCUUCACCCACAUCCACUACCCAGCUGUUGGUGACGCGCAGCUGUUUAGCUCAGCCUUGGCGUCGCUGUGCACCUACCUCGACCUUGCGCCACCGCGUUUUUGGGGACGCGCUGAGCCGCCACACCCCCACGGUUGGCAGCCCAGGUGGGAGGUUGAGACGGUCGUCCAAGGCCGUGAGGUGGAGCCAGUGACGGCGGACAUCGCCUUCACCGAACGCUACCCCAGCUUCACGUCGGGCCUGCAAUUCUCCAUGCAGCGCGCCCUCGCGCACAUGUGCGAGGCCUACCGCGACUAGCUGCCACAUGACUCCUUCUUCCGUUAUUUCGAGAGGAGAGCCGUUGGAGGAGCCUCUGUGGGUUUUGAUGCCCUCGGAGACAACCCAACCGAGGUGGCUUUCCAUUUUGAGCAAAUGGAAAGCAACACAGUUGAGUUGGAGACUCAGCUGCACGACCAGAUGAUUCGUGCUGAUAUUGCUGAGGAGCAGGUUGGAGCACUCCUGGGAAACCGGGCCAACCUAGAGGCCACCAUACUCAAUAUGGGGGACGCUCUACAGCAGGUUCAGUACAAGAGGGACUUGUUGCAGCUGCACAUCGACCAGAUGCAGAACUUCCUCAACAACGCGCUCGCAGCCAACGUUCCAGCUCAGGAGAUAUCCGAGCCCGAGGGAGAGGGACCACCUCAAGAUGAGCCCUCAGAGGAGGAGAGUUUUCCAGAGGAAGACACACCCACCGCCAACACCCGCUCCAGGAGGGGAACCGAUGGAGCCACCACUUUUGUCGCACUCCCCUAGUCGAUUUGGAGACCACCACAUCUUACUUAGCAUAUAAUAAAAUUCGAGUACGUGUUGGUCGUUGACCAUACAAAACUUUGUUGUAUGGCGACGUAGACCGUUGGUUCUUCUUUUUAUUUUAUUUUCUUUUCCUUUUACUUAGGCCGUGGGCCAACAAUGAGUCUCUAUGUCGUUUAUUUGGAUCUUCAAAAGAAAUUUUAAUAAAGGAUUGUUGUUUGAUUGAUAUGCUUGUGUCUAUUUGUGGGGGGAUAGAUAUCCUUAGACCUCUUCCAUCUAUAUUUUUCUCAUCUUUGCUAUCCUAAAAUAGAUGCCGCCAAGACGCCAAACCCGCAACAAUACCAACAACAAUUUCAACAAUGCUGAAAAUAAUGCAGAGGGUAAUGAGAAUGCAGCAUUAGUGCAGCAAUUACUAGCAGCCCAGGCUCAGUUCAUCCAGUUGAUGACUCAGCAAAUGGCCAACAAUAAUCAGAACCACAACCAGAACCACAACAACCAGCACCACCCACCUCCCCAGGUUGAUAUGCUGACCCGUUUUCUGAGAUUGCGGCCACCCACUUUCUCGAGCUUCCCAGAACCGAUUGUGGCAGAUGACUGGCUCCGUUCAGUCAACAAAAUAUGGUUACUGUGAACUGCACUGACGAAGAGAAGGUCAGGUUUGCUGCCCAUUUACUGGAAGGACUAGCCGCAUCUUGGUGGGAAAAUUUUCAGAUUACCACCCCUAUCGAAGAUGUUGCUUGGGAGAUGUUCCAGGAGUCUUUUCGUACUGCCCACAUCUCAACGGGGGUACUUAGUCUGAAAAAGAAGGAAUUCCUGAAACUGAGGCAGGGGAACCGCACCGUGAUAGAAUUCAUUGAGGUGUUCAACAGCCUGUCCCGCUAUGCACCCGAUGAGGUGAAUACCGACGCCAAGCGCCGUGAGAGAUUUUUGGAUGGCCCGAAGGAUGAGCUAUCCAUCCAGUUGGCUGUCGCCUAUAACCCCACUUACCGGUCUUUGAUAGACAAGGCCAUUGUACUGGAGAAUAAACUGAACCAGAUGGAGAACCGUAAACGGAGACUUCAUCAAGGAAAUUCCCACUCCAGACCACACCAGAAAAUGUGCACCUCCUAUGAUGGAAAUGGGAGUUCUUCUGUGAACAAACAUGGCAGCCACAACCGUCAGCACCAUGGAGGAAGUGGCCAUCACCAUCGCCAUGGUAACAAUGGACAGAAUCAUCAGGGAGGAAAUGGGAACCGACCUCAGCACCAGCAUCAGAACCAGCUUUCUCGUCCGAGAAACCACAGUGACAGUGGUAAGGGCAACAACCAUGGCAAUGGAGGGAACGGGGGACAGAACCGCAACGGCAACCAUCCCAAGCGCGACCUCAGCCAGGUGGAGUGUUUCAAGUGCCACAAGCUGGGACACUACUCCAACGAUUGCUUAGAAAAAUUCAAGGAAGCUAGGAGCAAGCUGAACCCCUUUGCAAAGGGCAAAGUGAACCAUGUUGAUGUGGAGGAGAUCACCGAGGAACAAGGUAUCGUAAUCGGCACCUUCUGCAUUAAUUCGUUUGAGGCACUCAUACUGUUUGACUCUGGUGCAUCGCAUUCGUUCAUAUCAAGGGGUUUUGUGAUUAGAAAUGGGUUGCCAACUAGCACAUUAGUGAAUCCCAUGAAGGUGAAAUCACCAGGAGGAGAGAUUUUGGCUACCUAUGAGUGCCGCAUGUUGACUUUGGAAAUUGGUAAACACAAUUUUCUUACCAAUCUGAUAGUCAUAGGAUCAAAAGUGCUGGAUGUGAUCCUAGGAAUGAAUUGGUUAACCAAGUAUGAGGGAGUCAUAGACUGUGUCAAGAGAACCGUUGCUCUCACGACUCCGGAAAAGAAACGUAUACGUUUCAAGUCUACUUUCGAACCCUUGAGACCUAAGGUCAAUUCUCUUAAGGGGGUUAGCCUAGAAGAUGUGUCCAUAGUGAAGAAAUACCCAAAUGUAUUUCCAGAGUAAUUACCAGGCAUGCCACCAGAUCGUGAUGUGGAAUUCCUUAUCGAGUUGAUGCCAGGAAGUGGACCCAUAGCUAAGAGACCAUAUAAGAUGGCUGUGGAUGAGUUGAAGGAACUAAAGAAACAACUUGCUGAACAGUUGGAAAAAGGUUUCAUCCGCCCGAGUUCGUCACCUUGGGGAGCACCCGUACUGUUUGUGGAAAAGAAAGACAAGAGUCAGCGGAUGUGCAUCGAUUAUCGAUCGCUGAUGAGGUGACUAUAAAGAAUAAAUAUCCCUUACCUAUAAUCAAUGAUCUGUUCGAUCAAUUGGAGGGAGCAUGUGUAUUUUCCAAGAUCAACCUUCGAUCGGGAUAUUUUCAGUUGAAAAUACGAGGCAGAUAUUCCCAAGACGGCUUUCACCACUAGGUAUGGCCUAUAUGAAUACACAGCGAUGCCAUUUGGUUUGACCAAUGCUCUAGCCUACUUCAUGAAUAUGAUGAACAAGGCAUUCAUGAAAUAUUUGGACAAGUUCGUCUUGAUCUUUAUCGACGAUAUUUUGAUCUACUCCAAGAGCGAGGAACAUGAGCAACACCUGCGUUUGAUUUUGGAGAAACUCCGAGAGCACAAGCUGUACGCCAAAUUCAGCAAGUGCGAGUUUUGGUUGUCAGAAGUCAGUUUCCUUGGACAUAUCGUGUCAGGAGCAGGAGUCGCUGUCGACCUAACUAAAGUGGCAGCAGUAACAGAUUGGGAGGCACCCAAAAACGUCGGAGAUGUCCGCAACUUCCUAGGACUUGCCGGCUACUAUCGCAGAUUCAUUGAGAAUUUUUCCAAGAUAGCGAAACCCAUGACCGAACUGUUGAAGAAGGAAAAGAAAUUUGAAUGGUCUGAAAAAUGUGAAGAGAGUUUCCAAGAGCUGAAAAAGAGAUUAGUGCCAGCACCCAUCCUUGUCUUACCCAAUCUGCAGGAAGACUUUCAAGUAUACUGCGACGCCUCGCAUCAAGGUUUAGGAGGUGUUCUAAUGCAAGGGGGAAGAGUUGUAGCGUAUGCUUCGCGACAACUAAAGAAUCAUGAGGGAAAUUACCCCACGCAUGAUUUGGAGUUAGCAUCAGUAGUACACCCAGUCAAGACCUGGAGACACUAUCUCAUGGGAAAACAUUGCGAUUUAUUCACCGAUCAGAAAACGCCUAAAAUACAUAUUUACUCAGAAUGAGUUGAAUUUGAGACAGAGGAGAUGGCUAGAACUGAUCAAUGACUACGAUCUAAAUCUUCAGUACCAUCUGGCAAAGCUAACGUUGUGGCAGAUGCUUUGAGACGCAAGGGCUACUUGAAUGGAUUGUCAGCUGGAGAGUUACCUCCGGAGUUGUGCAAGCAAUUCAAGAAAUUGAGGCUGGAAAUUGUGCCAGAAGGUUAUCUCGCGAACCUGGAAGUGCAACCCACUCUGUUGGACAGAAUCAAAGAAGCCUAGAAAAGUGACUCCGAGAUCGAUGAGAUAAAAGGGAACAUGUUAUUUGGGAAAGCAAAAGGUUUUCGAGAGGAUGACCAAGGGCUUAUAUGGUUUGAAAAACGUGUCUGUGUACCACAGAACCCAGAGAUCAGAAAACUGAUACUUCAGGAAGCCCACGAUUCACCGUACUCCAUCCAUCUAGGAAAUACCAAGACGUACAUGGAUUUGAAUGAAAAUUUUGGUGGACCGGAUUAAAGCGGGACAUCGUAGAGUACAUAGCGUUGUGCGAUGUAUGCAACAAGGUUAAGGCUGAAUAUCAGAAACCAGCAGGAUUGCUACAACCAUUACCUGUACCAGAUUGGAAAUGGGAUAAGAUAGGUAUGGAUUUCAUCACCGGACUGCCAAGGACCAGAUCAGGUUAUGACUCCAUAUGGGUGGUAGUUGAUCGUUUGACCAAGGUUGCACAUUUCAUACCGGUGAAGACCACAUAUACAAAUGCCCAAUUAGCUAAAAGCAACAUGUCCAGAAUCGUGUGUUUACACGGAGUACCGAAGGAAAUAGUGUCAGACAGGGGUACCCAAUUUACCUCGAGGUUUUGGGGCUAGCUACAUGAGUCAUUGGGAACGAGACUGGAGUUCAGUACAGCUUUUCAUCCAUAGACUGACGGACAAACCGAGAGGGUUAAUCAAAUCCUUGAGGACAUGUUGAGAGCUUGCGCUCUGGAUUAUGGUUCCAGUUGGGAUGAUAAUUUACACCUAUGCCGAGUUCUCGUACAAUAACAGUUUCCAGGCAAGCAUUGGAAUGUCACCGUUUGAGGCACUGUAUGGGAAGAAAUGCAGGACACCAUUGUUAUGGGAUGGGGUAGGAGACCGCACUCUAUUCGGUCCUGAUCAGAUAAAGGACACCGAAGUAAAAGUCAGACUGAUUCGAGACAGGCUGAAAGUAGCACAGUCGAGGCAGAAGAGUUAUGCAGACUCAAAGCAUAGGGAGGUUCCCUACGAGGUUGGUGAUAGGGCGUAUCUCGGAGUUUCACCGAUACGCGGAGUGAAGAGGUUCGGAAUCAAAGAAAAAUUAGCCCCACGAUUCAUUGGACCUGUCAAACCAGUGUCACCCGGGGUACCACCGCUGCGCGACGCGUGGGCCCCGUUCCCGAGUCCCCGGGAAGGUCCCAUCCCGGGGAGCGUCUAUGAGCAGCCCGGCAAGCUACCGGCCCGGAAGGGUCUAACGGGGCUUCGGGGAAUAUUCCUGCCUGGGCACCUCCCGAGAAGCUGCUUCCCGGGGGGCGGGGGUUCCCGGGCGCGCUGGGGCCAGGCGCUUCCCGGGGUCGACUUGCCGGGGCAGAGGGUUCCCGGGCGCACGCGCCCGCCACAAGCGUGGGGCCCAGUGGCCAGAUCAACAGCGCCACGAGGACGCGUGGCGGGCGUGGGGUGCGCGGCCCCACCAGGGCAAGGAGUAAGGCGCACGGCUCAGUAAAUGAGCCAAUCGACGGGUUGUUACCCGUCCGAUCAAGGGAACAGUGGUUGUCCAAUCCUACCCUAGAGGUUUUAGACCCCUAGCGGCGGAGGUUGCAUCCAUGCGCGCCACCAGCUCACCGAGAGAGAGCUGUAUGCCUCUCCGCUCGACAUUUGUAGCCCAUGCACCGUGGCACCUGUGGCAUCCCCUUGAGUAUAAAAGGAGGACCUCCGCCAACGGUCAAAGGGUUCCGUCGGGUUCGGUUCGGAUCGGUUCGUCCGGAUUCAUACUAGCAUUAGCCGAGAAUAGCAAGGAGCACUUAGCUGAAAAGGGAGAGAGCGUCCCGGGACUCCCCCCUGGGAAACUUAUAAAACACUUGGUUUCGGUGACAAUACAGGCUCAGACAAGCAGGACGUAGGGUUUUACACCUCCGGGUGGCCCGAACCUGGGUAAAAACGCUCGUGCGUGUGUUCUUUGCUUGCAUGCACCUUGGGUGCACCUCUCUUCGGACCACGUAUGCCAUCGGCCACGCCGGUGAUUGCCGGAGCGAUCCCCGACGCCCCUGCCGAACCAAAAAGGGGGUGUGCCAGCACGCCCCCGGUGUCGGAGCCCCGUGCGACGACAGGACCGUACCGAGUCUUAUCACGCCAGGGAGAAGUGGCAUAUAAGUUGGACCUACCAGAAACUUUGGAAAGCGUCCAUAACGUGUUCCACAUAUCGCAACUGAAGAAAUGUCACCCCGACAUGGCCGACACCCCGUUGAGAGAUACUGUUCCGCUUGAGGAGGCCCAGUUGCAGAGUGGCCUCAACUAUGAGAAAAAACCUAUCCGGAUUUUGGAUACCGCAGAAAGGCAUACCCGCUCCAAGGCUAUCAAGUUCUGCAAAGUGCAAUGGGAUCAUCACACCGAGGAGGAAGCCACUUGGCAACGCGAAGACGAUCUUCAAGAAGACCACCCACACCUCUUUGCUAGCCAACCAGAAUCUCGGGGACGAGAUUCAUCUUAAGGGGUUAGGUCCGUAACAUCCCAAUUUUUCUCAAACUUUGCAUCAUGCAUUUGCACUCAUGAGCAUCAUACCAUUUAUGCACUUUGAGCACCUUUAAACCAAAGAUUUAAAUUUUAAAACCUUUUAUUAAGCCUUUUACCGUUUUAAAUUUUUACUUUGCAUCUUUUUGGAAUUUUUCAACCCAUGGGGUUGAAAAAUUAGAAAGGGGUUUUAUGCAAUAAGAUGAGCUACCCCAUAAUUUCUGGGAUUUAUUUUGGAGUUGAAAAACUACUUUGUUUCUAAAUAUUAUUGCACUAGAGGCAAUUAUAUAAGCAAAACUAUUUUUAAUAAUUUACUUUUGGAAGAAAUCAAGUCCCAAAUGCUAUGGCAUUAAAGGAUAUGAUUUUACAAAUUUUCUGGAAUUUAUUUGAGUCCAUUUGGAGUUCAAAAUCAAAAGUUAUAAAGGAAAAACGGAAAAAGAAAAGAACAAAAAAAGGGAAACGGACCGGCCCAGCCAACUUGGGCCGAACUGGCCCGGUCAACCCCCCGCAUGCGCAGCCCAGCCGCCGCCCUUGGCCAAUGGCCCCUAACAGGUAGGGCCCACCUGUCAGUCGUCUCCUUCCUCUGGCCGCGAAUCUAGCGCCCGGCCGCCAUUACACCCGCCUUCAAUUCGCAAUUUAGGGCGCCAUCUUAAAGCUCUCUCUCGCGUCACUAUAAAGAGCCCCCCCCCUCCUCUCUCAUUUCCCCCGCACCCCGUCGCUCCACUCACGCCCACGCCGCCGCAAUUACUCGCCGGAAAAGCUUUGGGCGCCGCCGCUUUUUCCGUCGACGCCGGUGACAGAGAGGGUAAGACCCGUCGGGACUUACUCCUUCUUCUCGUCAGUGCGCAACUUUUGACGCGCUCCGUUCUUUCUUUUGUUCUUUGAAGCUCCCCGUCGCCGCCGCCACUCACCGUCGUCCUAGGCGCCGUCUUCGUCCUCGUCUCGCCAUGCCAACCACGUCAUGACCCCCGCCUCGUCGCGCCGCCCAAGCCGCCGGUCUUCCUCGAGCCCGAAGGCCAAUGGAAUGCCCGCACGCCGCCCCGCCGAACCGCGUCGCUGCUGGAGCUCCCGCCGGAACCCUAGGCUCACCGGAGGUCAGCCCGACGCUCCUUGGCCGUUGGAUCUCAGCCAACGGCCGAGGUUAGAUCACUUAAUCGAAGGGGUAUCCCUUGAUCUCAGCCGUCCAUCAUGUUUUAAGUGAGAUCGGACAGCCAUCUUUUAUUUGGACCCCGAACCGGUACGGACAAAUCACGUGACGACACGUGUCAUGUACAUAAAAUGUAAAAUUGUUCCCGGACGAAAUAAAUGGUAAAAUUGUAGAAAAACCCCUGGAACUUCAAACACUCAUAAGUUUUGAACCGUUUGGCCAAAUUUGAUGAACUGCACCUUUUUGGAAUCCACAUGGUAUGUAGAAUCUUUUGGCACAAUUAGUUUUCAGUUUUGGACAACUGAAACAGGACCAAGUGACAGAAUGCUUAACUAUGAACGUUAUCACUUAAAAAUUGGCUUAAAACUAUUUUGGACGAUUUAUCCACUCAAAAAAUUUCUUUGAUGCACCCUCUAUCCAGUGGAACCAGAGGAAAAAUUGUUCUUGUAUAAAAAAAAUGGAUGUAUCAGAAAAGUUAGAUUAAUCUAGCAUAAAAUGGAUUAAACUAGCUUUGUUUAAUGAUUUCCUUUUCUCUACACCAUGAACAUGAUCCUAACUUUUCAUCACAUAGAUUUAAAUCAUAUUUGUGACAAAAACCAAAUUUAGGAUUGCAUCAUGUGCAUGGCAUCAUGGCAUAUUUUAUUUGAUUGCGUGUAUGUCUUGUAUGGUUGUUUAUUUUGGCUAUACAUUUGAUUGUUAGAUUGUUCGGAGUGCGAACCCUGUCUUUGCGAAGAGUGCGAGAACAACAACAAUUUUGGACAAGGCAAGUUUUCAUCUUGAUCAUGAAUCACCUACUAUCGCACUUAUUUUAAUCCCUUAUGCAUUAGCGUUGUUUGUAGAAUUGCAUUAGGAUUAAAUUAUCGUAUGAAUGCUAGCUAUAUUUUCCUAGUAGAAUAGAUUUUCCUCGCCGUCAUAUCCCCACCAAUAUCCAUCAUUAGUAGUUAUGCUUAGCCGUGCUAUGUAAAUAUGCGUGGGAGGGAACCACUCUCAUUCUAGAAAUAUUGUCGAUGUAAAUGUUAUUUUGAAGUAUGGCUAAAAUCAACUACUAAUGAACCAUCCUGGGUGGGCGGCUUUGAGCAUUAUGGUUGUACGCGACGUCAGGUCCAUUUCUAUGGGACCCGCUGAGUCGUCUCUCCGUGGAUUCGGGAGCGACCAUGGUCGUCUCUUCCGUGAAUUCGGGGAGUGCCUGCGUCGCAAAUGUGGAAUGCCACCCGGGGUAACCAGAGACUGAAUUGGGUUCCUAUUUAAUUGCUUCCAGUACAACCACAUGCUAUAUGGGCUCUGGCGAGAAUAGAGUAUGUUGUAUGAACCUAUACCCGAAGAAUUGUAAUGAUGUAGCAGCGUAGGUGGAGCGUGAUUCCCUCAUGAUCUAGGGAAUUACUUCUGAAAAUCUCGUAAUCGACGCCGUUGCUACUCUACCCUAAGGACAGCAAGGGAUUAACCCGUCGGUUUCUUGUGGGGAAUGUGUACAACCUCUCGAGAGUGUCAAAACUAAAUGCUUAACCGUGUCCCCGAUUAUGGACGAAUUAUGAGCAACUAGAUACGGAAACUAAGUAAGGUCUCACUCAUUCAAAUUUCUAAAUAAAAUGAAUGGUUUAAACUUGGGUUAGGAGCAUUGAUGUGUCUACUCAAUGUCCUCAGUUUUAAUAGGAGCAUCGGUGUGUCUACCCGAUGUCCAUUAGAUUUAUCUUACUGUAAAAUUCAAUCGUAGUGGGAUAAAGUUUAUUUUAAUUGCUUCUACGCCAAAAAGCCUAAACUCCAGAUAGCCAAUAUUGCAUAUAAUUGAUAGGAUCUGUUAUAAACUCCGGUAACUUGCCAAUACAUUCAAUGUAUUGACCCUAGUGGCUGCAACCUUUAAAAUUGUUGCAGGGAAUUCCGACGACGAGUAAGGUUACGUUGUUGGGUCACGAGCCUGCAUUCCAACAUGCGCUCUCUGUGGUGUUGCAAUGGCUCAAUUUUUCCUUUGCUUUCCACUGAUGAAUAAUUUAUGUUAUUUUUCAAUGCUAACUCGAGUGGUUAUGCAAAGUUGUAAGUACUCUAAAGUUCUGGAUGAUGACGAUGUAAUAAAUUACUUGACCUUUGUUUCUCGAUAUUACAUCUUGAACUGUGUGUGCUAGUCAGUCAAUCCAGGGACUAGCACUAUAAGCACAGAGAUCAAACCCUAUACGGGGGCGGUCGCUUCAUGCAGGUACUCCGAAAACGCAUUUCGUCGGGUUAAGCUUGAUCCGAUAGUUGUCAAGAUUCUGGAAUGUCUCUCGAAUAUCCUCUAAUAGAAUAUCUUCAGUCUUUGUCUUGCUAACGAUAUCAUUGAUGUAGACUUGAACAUUUCUGCCAGCUGCGCCCAAGACAUGCUUGCAUGCGGCGUUGAUACGUAGCGCCUGUGUUUUUCAGUCCGAAAAGCAUAGUUGUGUGGCAGAAAACUCCAUAAGGUGUUAUGAAUGCUGUCUUGUCUUCAUCCUCCUUCUUCAGUCAAAUCUGAUAGUAUCCAGAAUAUGCAUCAAGGAAUGACAAUCGAGCACAUCCCGCAGUCGAGUCGACGAUCUGGUCAAUUCGAGGCAGGGGAAAAUGAUCUUUCGAGCAAUGUUUGUUCAGUGAGGUGAAGUCGACGCACAUGCGCAACACUUUCGUGUUCUUCUUCGGGACAAGCACGGGGUUCGCCACCCAGGUAGCUUGUUUGAUUUCCCAGAUAAACUUUGCGUCGAGCAAACGAUUGACCUCUUCACCAAUGGCCUUCCGCUUGGGUUCCGAAAAGCGUCGCAUCGGUUGCCUGAUGGGCUUGGCAUGCUCGUCCACAUGCAAAGAGUGCUCCGCAAGUUCCUUGGGAAUACCCGGCAUAUCAGAUGGUACCUAGGCGAAAAUUUCCAAUUCUCGUGCAGGAACUCGACGAGCGCACUUUCCUAUGCGGGAGGAAGGCUCGAGGACACCAGCACUAUUUUAUUGGGAUCCAUCGGGUGUACCUGAUGCUUUGUUGUGUCACUCUUCAUGCUGAACUCUAUCUUUGGUGGCGCUUUCUUCGUCAUGGGAAGUACGUCAUUGUCCGUCGUUGCCUUCAAAGAGGCGAGUUCCGUCUGCAUGCCGAAUGAUUCAACAAGUUUAUGGAAUUCUCUGUCGCAAUUGUCCGAUCUUGUAAAGCUUACUCGGACAGUGAUUAUGCCGUAGGGUCCAGACAUUUUCAUCAUGAGAUAUGCAUAAUGUGGGAUGGCCAUGAAUCUGGCGAGUGCCGGCCGGCCCAGAAGCACAUGGUAUUGCGAUUUCCAGUCGAGUACUUCAAAAUCGAUCCGUUCUUUGCAAAAUUUGGCGGGGUUGCCAAAGACAACAUCGAGGCUAACCCGGCCCAAUGGCACUGUCGGUUUUCCUGGAACAAUUCCAUGAAAAGAUGUGUCUUUGGAGAUUCGUUAAUGAUAUGUUCAUCGCCCUUAGUGUAUCCGCAAAUAUGAUGUUAAUGCCACUGCCUUCAUCUAUGAACACCUUGCUCAUCUCGUAGCCCCCCACCUGAGCAUCGAGGACUAAUGCUGACAGUCCUGGACUCGGAAUCUGAGGUGGGUGAUCCGCACGCGAGAAUGAAAUGGCGACCACGGACCAGUCGAGGUACUCUAGGUGGCGGGUGGUGCGGCCACAGCCAGAUGAACUUGCCGGGUGAUAACUUUUUUAUGUCGGUUGGAUGGCCUUCCUUUCUGUAUCAUGCAGAUAUUUCCCAAAGGCGCUGGAUACGCAUCAGUUGUAGCUGGUGGUUCUGAUGGCCGUGACGCGGGCUGUGUGUGUUGCACGGAUCCGGCGAAAUUUGGUGGCGGCGCAUUGUGCACUAUCAUCCCAGCUCGAGUGGCGUGUGGCAGAGCCAAAGUAUUGGGAUUAUUCCUCGUUGAUUGCUGACCUGACCCCCGAGGGUAAUCCCUGCUUGCCGUUGAGUUCUAAAACUGGCUGCAUGUGUCCUGCAACUCGUGGAAACGACGGUACUCGAACAGUGUGUGGUCGCACCUUAUAUUUCCAUCAACAUCCCUGGUACCAUGGAAGGGGCAGGGAGAUGACAACUGUUGCGUCAACGACAAAGCAGGUUGCCCAUCUCGCCGCAACCUCCGAGGCUACCACUGCUGGUUCUUGCUGCUGUCUCGGUAGUUACCACAGUUACUUCUAUUCCGAUGUCCUUCAUGAUUUCCUUCACCUCGACCACCGCCAUUACGGUCAAACUCUUCCGCUACGAACUCAUGGGCGUUAGGCUCCCACUCCUUUCGCUUGUUUCGUCUCUCGGUGUUGCGACCGUGUCCUCGUUCGGCUUCUUCAUCGUCGGGUAGUGCAUUGUGCUCAUUUCGAAUUGAAUCUUCUCCAUCAGAUCUGCAACUGUUUUUGGCCUGCUCCGUCCCAGUUCUUCCUUAAAAGUGACACGCUUCAACCCCCGUUUGAAGGCGUCGACUGCGCUUUCAUCUGAUAUUUCUUCUGCUGCAUUUUUUAGGGAUGUCCAUUGUUGUAUGUACGAUCGAAUGGACUCACUCGACCUCUGAGUGCAUGCUCAAAGUUCUUCCAAUGAAACUGGCCUUUUAUAAGUUGCCCGAAAUGUGCGGGUGAAAACUUGGUAGAGCUCGUCCCACGAGCCUAUUUCGCCUUCUGGCAGACUAGCAAGCCAUGUGCGAGCGUGCCCCUUGAGCUGCAAUUGUAAACACUGCAUGGAUGUGUUCUUCGUUCCUCCCUUCAGUUGUACCAUUGUGAGGUAAUCUUCUAACCAAGCUCUCGGCUCCUGGGAGCCGUCAUACUUGAUUGCUCUCGACGAUACUGAAACAUUAUCGGGCAUAUUCGAAUUGCGAACGCGACGGCUAAAGCAGACCGCGUCGCAAGGUUCAUCCUCUUCCUCUGUGAUGCAGCCAGCACGGGCUGACCACUCGCGAUCGAUUCUCUGUUGUGUAAUGAUAUCACGAGCAUCUCCUAGUACGGGGGUGUUGCGGCGGCGAUUAGGCAGUUCUUCCAGUCCCCGUCGUGGAGGAGUCGUGCGAUUGUUUUGCCGUGGGGAGCCGCCAUCCCUAUGCCGUCGGGGCUCCAUCUGGUUUGAGUUGGGGCCCAUGAGGGCAUUCCCGAUGAGGCCCAAGCCGGCCAAGACCUGCUUGUGGAUUGCCGCCUUCGGGCCAUCAUCCGGUGGCAUGGUGGAUAGGAGGUAUGUGUUUGCAGCGACCACAGCUCCUUGUGGCGUCCUGGGAAACAGCUCUCCCUAGGUAUUGACUGUCAUCAGUUCAUCGUCCAGACUGCGUGUCAUGCCGAUGCGAUCUUGCUUGGGGAUAUUGUUCAACCGAGCUUGAUAGUGCGGCGCUCUGUAUCUGGGGGUGCUCCGGGAGCAGGCACUGUGACUCUGUGCUGAGAGCUGUCUGCGAGCACUCGAAGCGUAGGCGACUUCUCUCUGCCAUUGGAGCUCUGCCUGCUCCUCUCGCAGUCGAGCAUGCGUAGUGUCUAGCGCAUGGUGGUAUGCCAUCAUCUAGUUGCGCGUGGCAUCUGCUGGUAAAGGGUUGGUGCCAUUAAGGGUGGCCUCGACCCGAGCUUCUUCUUCCGGCGUGAGAAUGAUCGUUGGGCGAUCAUUGGUCACCUGCCUCGGCGAAGAUGGUUCUGCCGGCGCGGUGUCCGUCUCCACUGCUCUCGCCUACUUUCGCCGCGAAGACUUGUGCCAAGGUCAUGCGAGGGAUCGCAGUUGCAUCAGUGGGAUUGAUUGCUACACUCGAACAGGUACUGACGAUGUAAGGAGUGGGAUCUUCAGCGAACACCGAGUGAUGCGAAUCGUACUCGGUGCAAAAAAAUUGGGCCAAAAUUGGCCCUGUUUCACCCAGCGAAAGCAUCGGGGGUGAAGGAUCAGUCGAUGACGCCACCAGAGAAUCGCAGAUCUGUCCUGUCGGUGACAGAUCCGUGAAACUGAUGAUUCCUUCGCGGCUGACUCGGAGGUCAAAACCUCCGAACGACAGCUCCAGAAGACCGCAAAGGUUGCGGAAAGCUGAGCGCAGUGCCGGCGGAUGAGCUGAGAAAUUCAAGGACCCGAAGCGGAUCGGUUCCUCCAUGGUUGAUGCGUUGUGGAUUGAGAACGGCAUGGUCAAGAAGAUCGUAGAUCUGAUGCACUUCUUCCCCACGGUCGGCGCCAAUGUCAAGGUGCUACCUCGGCAAUACCCUGAUUCGAGUUUUCGACUGAGGGAGAGCAGGGGGUGCACCAGCGAUCUCGUAGACUAACAAGGACUAGGGAAGUCGCAAGGUUUACCCAGGUUCAGGGCCCUCGGAAGGUAAUACCCCUACGUCCUGCUUUUGGUGUAUUGUAUUGAUCGGGAUUACAGAGAAGCUAUGAAGCUAUGGUGUGCAGAUGAAUCUGGCGUAUGAAUAGAGGUUACCCAUUCCCGACUCCCCCUCCUAGCCUUAUAUACUGGCGGCUAGGUCUCGGGCGUGAUAAUCGGGAAGGUUACAAUCAAAUCAGUUUAUUCUGGUACGAAAAGAUUAUGUUCCUUGGCUUGAGCCACACUUUGAGGGACUCGACCUGCAUAUACUUGAUGGACCUUCGAGUGGACCCCAUGUUGGGGUGUAUCAGGUAUAUGAAGGUUGAGAACUCGAAGGGUCAUUCCCUCAUCACCAGGGCUAGUGAAGAUUAACGUGGAUGCGAGUAUCUCCCAAUCGGGGCAAACUGGAGCUGUGGCGGUCAUUUGCCGUGAUGAGAAGGGCAUCUAUCUCGGGGCGUCCUCGGUCACCAUUGAGGGUCUCACUUUGCUUGAGAUCCUCGAAGCUAUUGCUUGCAAUGAAGCUCUCUCCCUAGCAUGUGAUCUUUACAAGAGGAAGAUCCAAGUUGCUUCAGGUUGUCUGAAUGCCAUGAAGAACUUGAAGGCGGACAACCUCUGUGACUAUAGUGCAAUUUGCCGGGAAUUCAAUGCUCGGAAGGCGAGCUUCGACGUUUUGCUGCUAGGUCAUGAGAAGAGGGACUCUAAUAUUGAUGCUCACAAUCUCUCUAAGGCUGAGUCUACCUUGCCAGUGGGGCGCCGCUUGUGGCUGUCGAAUACCCCUGAAAUCACUUGUAUCCCAACUCUUGUGUUAAGCUAAUAAAAUACGGGUUUAUCGCUAAAAAAAAACUUUACCGUCGAUUUUUCUCCUAAAAAAACUCUACCAUCGAUUAUUGAUGAGAUGUAAAAUUAAGGCCGGACUUAUCAACUUCAUCGGCUCAACAGAUUGUCGCCGGUGGCAGCAUGUUUGUGCAUCACGUUGGUGAACAGGUGGCCGCCGCUGUACAGUGAUGACACUAUGCUCACGUGAUCCAAGGUUGCAUUCAUAUGGAUCAACCAAGCAACAAUGCAAAAAGCCUACUGGUCCUGCUCCUAUAAUAGUCUAGGCCUUGGGCAAAUCAAUGGACUCAUUAGUUAUUUGGGCAGGCCAAUUUAUCAGAUAAUCCUAAUUGAAGACAUCAGAUAAUUUGCAAAAAAUGCCAGAUAAUCUGUCUCCGCUGGAUAUUGGCAAUACCAUAUCCGCUACCAUAUACGUUGGAUAUUUGGAUGACCAAUAUCCAUAUAUGCAUCCUUAUCAGGCGGAUUCCUAAAAUUGCAUACCGUAUCCUCAAAAACGGAUGCGGAUGCGGCACGGAGAAUAUGCCUUGAAAAGUCGAAACAUGAAAUUCAAACAUGAUGGAAGCCGGCGAUUAAGAAUAUGUCUUGGUUUGUUGAAAAAUAGCAAUGUAUACUUGAGAGUAUAUUAGAAUAUUCUUGAUAAUUGGGGAUUGUUGAAAAUUAGCAAUACAUAUUUGAGAAGUUUUUAGGAUACCUCGAACAAGUAGAGAAGUAAAUAUAUGCAAAGGAGUCUUUCAGUAAAUGUUUGAAAAGAUUAGAAUAUUCUACAAGUUUUGAGAGGUUGCAUGAGAGUACUAUAACCACACAAAAGAUCCUAAAAUAACUUCAUGAAUAAAUGAGAAUUAUGUAGGAUUGCAAUCGUUUAAAUAGGGUGUUUUCUCCUCCCAUGAGAGUACUAUAACCACACAAAAGAAUAGAGAACCACCAUGAUAGGAGUCGUGAGCUAUCAUAAUUCAGUAGUAUGGUUGUGUAGCAAUAGGUUAGCCAAAAAAAAUAUUGUAUCAAAAUUAUGAAAUUAAAUUUUGACUUCAUUUUGAAUAAGUGUGAUAUAUCAAUUAGUGCAAAUGUGUAUUAGGAUGUUAAAGUCUGCGAAAUCUCUACACUAUUAAUAUAUCUGACAUGAUUAACAUAAAUACAUUUAUGAUGACACAAAGUGAGAUGAAUGUCAGCAUUCGAUGUUGCCUCUGCCGAUGUGGCGUUGCGACAAUGAAAUCAAAUGCCAACCCGGGUGAUGACACACGCAAUUACAGUAGUAUUUGGUACCUAUAGAUCAACAAGGAAAACACAAACAAAAAAACAUGAAUUUUCAUCGAUAACUAAACCAAAACACAUAACGAGAGUGGAAUUUUGUUACUGCUUGCCAUGAUGGAAAAAAAAUCCAAUGAUGUGAUAGCAGGGUACGCGGUCCGAAUGACGUUCUUGGACGCGAACGCGAGUAAGACAAACAUGUUUUUGUCGUUCUUGAUCUUUCUCAUGGUGAGCUGAACAGUUACACGUUAUGUCAGCAUAAUGUAUAUGAGUUUUUGAUUGCACCCAAAUAAAAAUUAGAAGUUACCAAGUUUUGUAUUGGAGACAUGUACAUAAAGAGUUCAGAGCCGGCAACAAGUAAUCCGAACAUCAUGUUACGAGAAUUAACGUGUUAUGGCCUGGCUGGAAUCAAGUAAACAUAAGUACAACAAGAACACCAGAAGAAAAAAACUUCACUGCUACCCGAACGGAGGCGACAGGAGAAGCGUGACCUGGGUGGGUGGAAUAUUUUUUCAGCCAUAUCAUACCCGAUUUGGGUCGCCUGGAGUGCAGCCCACCCAAUACCCUUAGUCUUUCCAAGCACGGGAGGGAUCAUGAGUCAGAGCGCGAGAGAGAAGCGAGGUCGACCUCAGCUACCAUGGGAGCCGCGUCCUCAUCGAAGACGUCGGUCGUGAGGAUGAGCUUGGCGCUGCUGCAUGGGCCAUAACAAUUUGUCACUUACAUGGCCGUAGCAAUUUGUCGAACACCAGAUGGGCACCCCAAAGGUGAAGUUCGGGGUCCAAUCAAGCAGGGCAACCGUAAACAAUGAAGAUACAACCACUUUUGUGGACGACGAGACCGUGGUUGAACACAUUAGGCAGUAGCCUAAUGACCGCGUCGCCCGGCGUCAAGUGCCUAGAUAUUUUUUAAUGCAGAUGAAAAACCUAAAUGCUGGAACCGAUCAAACUAAAAAAAGAUUGUAUGCUAGAAUCGAUCGAACUAAAAAAUAACUGGAUGAUGAUGCUGCAAAUCUGCAAUCGAUUGACCGUGGAACUCGAUGACGACACACAAGAAGACCGAAGGGACGGCCCAACACCAAGCGCAUAUGUAUAGUAGAAUUAACACCAAACCAUCGCCGGCAGGUGCUGGAGUCCGUCCUCCCGUUUACUCAAACCUCUCAAAGUCAAAGGGCUUGUUUGGUUAGAAGCCUGGAUAAGAUGCCUGAUAAAAUUUGCUGUCUGGUCAGGCAAGAUACUAGCACUAGCAACAACGAAGCUCAGACGACCACUUUUAAUGGCCUGACACUACCAAACAACUUGCAUGCAUACGUUCGGCUACCAAGAAGCCGGCCGGCGUGUGUUGCCUACCUAAAACCGACAGAUGUAAGGUGCGCCUAGUCUACCCCCUUACCAAAACCCCAAGACGUAAGGUGAUGCUAGCUUGGUGUUGUGCGCAUCGAUCCUAGGCUACCAUCUAGAUGCUCCAUGACUCGGAAACACAGAUAUUCCAGAAACUGUAUGUAUCGACGAUCGAAUACCUCCAGAUACAGGAUACAUGCGGAUAUGGGGAAAUACGUAUCAGACGAUUUUCUAUAUUUUUUAAAAAGAAAAUUCAUUCGGAUACUUGUGGGAUACCUCUAGGACAAGGUAGAAUACAUAAAUACCUAAUGGCUUAAUGCAUAAUCCCACUUCGACUCUGGAUCAUCAAUCCAAUCUUUCUCCCAUGGCGACCUACCAACCCUGGCUGCCGGGCACCGUUGCGUCCCCUACUGCUGCACCGCCGCCGCCCCCUGUUGCUACAUCUAUGCGCCGCUGCCACCCUGGUCCCUCGCUGCUACGCCGUCGAAUGCGGGCAGUGGUGCUGGAGGAGCACAUGGAGUCCAGCUGUUGAAUGCUGCUCAUAUGCUUACUUAGAUGUGAUUUCUAUUUUAUCACGGCAACUAGGUGGGAAAGAAAGAGGGCUUUCGUGUAUAUAAUCACUAUGUUUAUAUAUUCUUAAUAUUUAUUAUACAUAUACAAACGUAUUCCCGUAUCAGAGUUUUUGCAAAAUUGUCGUAUCGCGAUGUCUAUAUCAGUGUCCGUUUCGCAGUAUCCGAGCAUCCUCAGCUCCAUCACAUAUACACGGGCAGAGGACCCAGUAGGGCACGCCCUACCUUCGUUUUAGCCUCAGAUACGAAUUGGGAAAGAUUAAGGAGAUGCAACGGGGAGCUAAAGGGUGGAAUCUAUUCGUGAGGUGAUGGGAGGAGAAACGGUCGGUCAUGAGCUAGAGAAUUGAAGGGGAGACCAACCUGCGGUGGAGGUACUCCGCAAGGAAGAAGACUAGAUAGGGGUUGGAACACUAUAUAGGCAGCAGGAUGGGGAGGGAGGGGUGGCGGCGCUUGUGUGAGGAGGAAGACGAGCCACAGAGCGAGGGGGCUGGGGCGCUCGGCUGCGAGUAUGAGAGAUGGCGCAGGGUAGGAGGGAUGGUUGUAUAGUUGGCCAACAUCCUACUCUGCUAUUAAAUGGUUGUGCCGUGCUGGCCCACUAAGGUGGAAGCUAGGUAGGCCAGGGCACGGCCCACCAACCCAGCCGAGCCGGCUUGGCAGGCCCGGUCCCGGUAUUUCAGGGGCCGGUGCCGAACUAGGACUUGGGGCCCUUGUAUCGUACUUCUGUCAUUUGGCGAAGGCGUCGACGAUGCAGCUGCAACCUAAAGGGCAAUCAGGCAUGCACGACGGUUGUCAGCAAAAGUGCAGACUAGAACUGGCCGGCAUCGUCGAACCGGCAGCUCAAGCAGAGGCACCGACGCGUUGCACAUGGUGCAGUGUAGGGCCAAUUACUCCCUUCCUCUUUUUUUCCCGGAGGUAAGUCAUAGCCAAAUACUUCCUCCAUCUACAAAUGAGUGAAUAUUUAGCUUUAAUAUUUGUCCAGAAAAACGUAUUUCUCUCUUUCUAAAACAUCAAUAAAGAAAAAUUACUUCCCCGUAUCACACAUAAAUCAAAUCCAAUAACAGUUUCUACAUGCACUUAUUAGCUCAUUGGAGGUGGAGGAAUUAAAGAUGAGAGAGACGGUGGUUGGCACCUUCCCAAGUACUUUACUGGUAAACUUGAUGGGAACACAUGGAGAACAAACGUUCGCUUCCUAACCUUUUCACGCGACGGACAAAGUUGCCACCGUCAGAUAACUAAAGUUGACAUCCUCAUCAAAGUAAAGUUGUCACCUAUGAAGUAUAAGUUGCGACAACAUGGCACGAUCGCAACCACACUAUUCCUGAUCCGAUGAACAACAGAGCGUUCGCUUCAGAAGACUGCAAAGUAAAGUUCACUACUUAUGAUUCUAAUUGAUAAAAAAGGGCAAUAUACUCUCUUGUAUUAUUGUAUCACAAUUAAUGCAUACGUUUGGUACAGGAACUAUUGAUACAAAGAUAUCAUAUCAUGGUGUCACAAUCAAUACGUUAAUUUGACACAUAAACUAUUAAUAUAAAAGAUAUUUUAUUAGUGAUUCAUAGGUAAUAUAUUCCAUACAUGUCGAUGCUAUUGGUAAAUGGUAUUAUGGUACCCCAAUUAUUAACGAUUGAUUCGAUAGCUAAAAUGUUGAAAUAGAUUAUACUGUAUUUACUUAUCAAUAAAUACUUGAAACAACAAUAUCUCAGUAUGCGUCUAUAUAAACGCUGUGACAAGUGCAGAUUGCAACACACACCCAAAUAUAAGUACUAGCGUCUCGAAAUGGCAUUCUUCAAAAAGAACAUAGGUCUCCUAGUUUUGAUGACUCUCAUGGUUCUGGCUACCAUUCUCUCCAAAUGCAACGCGAACAAUGAGGUUAUGUUAUAUCCAUUCAUUUCUCAAUCCUCAUGAAUGCAGCUUCCUGUGUAUCUUGUGUUGAGAUCCCCAUGAAAAUUAGUGCAUAUUUAGCAAUGCGGAAAAAAAUUAGAUGCCAAAUUAACUAUCACGUAAUAGGCCUAGUGAAGUGUGUCGAUUUUGUGCAGAUUCAGAUAGAUGCACUUCCCCUACCUUGCAAAGUGCUAUGAGCUUUACCUUCCUAACUGCACCGAGGAGCUCUGCAGCAAGAAAUGCCAUGGAGGGCAGUGCAGGGAAAAGGACGAGUGUUGCUGCCACAAAUGCCACAAAUAUGACGUACCUCGUCUAGUGCAUGCGUGGAUAUAUAUCUAUAUCUGGAUAUAUAUCUAUAACUGUCUAAAAAAUACGGACCGUUUCCUUACCAAGCUGACAAAACCCCUCUGUCCACCUCGCACCGGUCCGCGCGCAGGAAAGAAAAAACGAACCCAGUCACUCUUAUCUCUACCCCAACCUCCGCCGCUGCCCUUUCCCUGCCUCCACGCCGCUGCCGCCCUUCAUGUCAAACCUCGCACAACGUCUCUCGUCCCACAAUCGCCGAAUUCCAAACCCCAAUUCCUUCCUCAACGCCCAUGCUUCACUGAGUUCUCUCCGCUGCAUCGCCCUCUCCCGCCGCCACCCACCUCCGCAUGCCCGUACUAGCGCCCACGCCCGCGUGCAAGAAAAUAAUCGCUGCUGAUUUCCCGGCUAGGGACGGGCCUCUGCUCGCCGACGCCCCAUGCGAGACCUUCCAGAUUUCACUCGGCCGAGCGGCCGAGGCGCCGACGAAGGCUGCACAACAACAGUUCCCGCGACCUCUGCUGCAUCGCCAUCGUCUCCCGCCGCCUCUACCUCCAUGCCUCCCUCUGGUCGAGACUCCUUUCCCGUGACAUCCCCUUACAAUUCCAGCGCUAUUCAUCGUCAUCCUCCUCUUUCGCAGCAAAAUCAAGUAAUCUCCCUCUCUGCUCUUCAUGUUUCAGUUUAUUUCCCCGUUUGAGCGGACGCCUUAUGAUGUUCUGCUGCAGGUUCGAGAGGCACAAGGCACGGAUGGCGGGGGCGAUGCGGAAGGGCGCGUGCUGCGCAAUUGCCGUGCCGCAAGCAGUUGACAGAGCUGGAGGAGUCGAUGAUGUGUGCGGAGGGGAAUAGGAUGAAUCAUGAAGGCCACUGAGGAGUAGCUGGACAGCCUUUUGUUUUGUGGUCACUGUACUGCAAAAUUACCCCCACCCCCACCCCCCCACCCCCACUAAUUCCAUUAUGAGUUUGUUUCCUGUAUGGCAUUCGUUCUUUUCUUUUUUGUAAACUAUGGCAUUCGUUCUUUUCUUUUUUGUAAACUAUGGCAUUCCUUCUUGAUGUUAUAAACUGCAGUACGAUGUAGAGAGUAGAAAUGACAUUUUACAAUUGCUAAAUAUCCCAUGCAUAUCUAAAUACCUCCGAUCAUAAAUUGUUGUCGAAAUAUUACAUGUAUAUAGACGUUUUUUAAGAAUAGAUACAUUCAUAUUUAGGCAAAUUUGAGUCAAAAAUUUAGGAUCAGAGGAAGUAUUGCAUUAUCGUAAGAACUAAGUAGCCUUGGGACUUUAAAUUGGGCGAUUAGAGUUGCAAAUAUCCUACACAUAUAAUGGGUGCUUAAUUGCUUGUAGCUAAGGCACUACGGGAGCAAAAGGUAUUGCUCAAGACUUGUUUGCAUAAUCGCAUGGUAUCUUAUGCAGACUCUGGAGAUCUCUUAAGAGCAUAUAUACUUGUAGUUUAGUCUACAAGUGGGAGCCGGCAGAAGUUCGCAGCAGAAAUUUUUGUAAAAUUAUCUCAGUGCCUAAACAAUAGAUUUCUUAUGAAAGGUUUCUUCCAUGAAUUGUUUUAAUUGUCCCGUUGCAACGUACGGGCAUUUCAGCUAGUAGAAGAUCAAAUAAAACCUUUUAAUUGUUAUUUUUAACCCAUGAAGCAAGCAAGCUUAUUACUUCUCUUUAUGCGUUUCAAUGAAUGGACAUGCUCAUGAAUUGGAUGUUCAAUCUAUCUAAAAACAGCAACCAAAACAAAAGAUAACAUCUACCGACCCUCUCCUCCCAAGAUUCCAUAUCCACCUACCGUCGCCCUCUCUAGAUUCAGCACCAACCGACCCUUCCCGUCCCCAGAUCCCAUCUCCACCUGCCGCUCUCCCCCUCUAGAUCCAGCGGCAGCCCUCGAUGACAGUAGAAGCUCGCUUGCUCGUCUCCGAGCAUGGGCACCUCGUCGUAUCCACGGGACGAUGAGAGGGAGGGACCUCAUCGCCCUCAUGUGCCACUCCUCAUCGGAUCCACGGGACGAUGAGAGAGAGGGACCUUGUCGCCGUCUGAGUGUGUCUCGUCGGAUCGCCGGGAUGGUGAUGCAAACAGAUGGCAUUGGCGGCCGACCGAAUGCUUCUCAACUCCACUUGAUUCGAUGGCUAAAAUGUUGAUAUAGAACAUAUUGUAUUUAUUUACCAAUACGUACUUGAAACAAUAAUAUCUCAAUCUGCGUAUAUGUAAACACACAACAUAACUUAUACGAUUAGAUCUAUGAUUCCUUCUCCCAUUGGAUGCUGGUCAUACAAACAUUGGACGGGCGAAUGGUAAGAGCAUUUUCAACAGGAGCCCCUAAAACAAGGCCCCUAAACAGCAUUUAGGGGCUCCCCUCAAAUUCUAAGGUACCAAAAAAAUCAACAAGCUUCAGCAGUAGCCCAUAUUUUCUGGCCCCUUUUUUUAAUGACAUGCGGGGCGCCGCGAAGCGGCGUGGCACAGGGCGGCGGGCCACGGGGCCGCGGCGAGUCACGGAGCGGCGGCGGCACAGAGCUGCAAGGAAGGAAGCGCGGCGGCGGAUGGGCGGAGCGAGGAGGCAGACCGGCGGCGGACGGGAAGACCUAUGAAGCCGGCGACGCCGAACGGCGGAGGCGGCGGCAUGGGGGCCGACGGCGAGGUACGGGACGGCGGUGCUGGCGAGACAAAGGAAGAACAGUGAGGAGAGAGCUGACGUGGAGGGAAUAGGGGCCUCCCUUGGGAGCCCCUAAGAAUGUGGGCUUGGGAGAUGUUUCUAGGGGCCUUCUUAAAAUAGGGGUUCUAAUAAGAACCCUGCUGAAGAAUGUUUUUUGACUCUAACUCUUAAAAACGGGAUAGAGCCCCUGUUUAGAUACUGCUGAAAAUGCUCCGAACGCUCCUAAAAAUCCUCCGGUAACGGUGCCAAUGCUCGCUCCGACUACCGCGCGACGCCCGGCGCAUACAUCAGGAUAAGUAAAUCGGAGAAAGUAUCAAAUUCCUUAAAUCAAUAACUGGCCUCCGUUGACAUCCACCGUCUGGUAAAAAAAAAAAAACCACCGUCCGUAUCCGCCACGUCCCCCGCCCCCAUAAUGCAGAGCGGAGCAACAGAAACUGGAGGGCACGCCUCUCAUAAAAGCCAAACCCAGCGAGCUCCUUGCCUUUCUCCGGUUCCCCUUCCCCACCCCCAUCGGCCGCCCACCACUGGGACCCGAACCCACGGGGUCCCCCGAUUCAGCCCACUCCCGCAUGCGCGCGCCUCCUCCCUGAGCCCCCACUCCCCUCGCCGGAGCGCGCCACCAUGGAUGAGUACCGGCCGCGCGUGUCGCCGGCGACCGAGCGGUUCGUCGGGCUGUUCUCUUCGCCCUCGUCUUCGCCGACGGAGCCGUCGUUCGUCGCUGGGGAUGAGUUUCACGAGGACGACUUCCUGUUCUCGUCCGGUCCCGCCGCCGCCUCGGACGCGCCGCCCGAUGGGUUAGGGAGCCAAAGGGUCCCGCACAGCCACCUCGGCCUCCUCGCCGCGCUGCACGAAGGGGACAAGAGGCUCCUUGUCCGCCGCGGCAGCGGGGCCGGCGGGGUAGCGGCGUCUGCGGCCGCGGCAACCGCCGGGACCCUACUCCGUCGCAAGGCGACCAUCGCGGCCGCCGCCUCAGCAUCUGGCAAGUCGCCAUCGCCCACCCUUUCCCCGAACUCCGUUGCGUGGGCUAUCCCGGCGAUCCCGAGGCCCAAGAGCCGGGAACAGGCCCCGCAGUACCACCAGUCGGCUCCAGUAAAGGUGCCCGUCCGUCCGCCUCUGAAGCCGGCAAUGGACAGGUGGGACGAACUUGACGACGAUGACGAGCUCCGGCACGGGGAUGCCGCCAUGCUGCCCCCGCACGAGAUGGUCGCGCGCGCGUCCGCUGCUGCCACGGGGCCGUCCGCCCCGUUCUCGAUGCUCGAGGGCGCCGGUCGCACGCUCAAGGGCCGAGACCUGCGACGGGUGCGUGACGCCGUGCUCCGGCAAACAGGGUGGCUCGACUGAAUCCGGCGAGGUGAUGUGGUUCUGGCCUUUUGUUCUGAAUGCCCAGAGUCAUAGAUUGGUUACAUUAGGGUAUAAUUCUAGUGGGUUCUUGUUGUAGACCGGGAUGAAAAACGAGAAAGUGAGAACAAGUUGAGUUUUUUGUGCAACUGCUUGCAAUUUUGGUGUCCUUGGAAAUUGGAAUGAUGUGUGUGAUAUUACUGUAAGUUCCAACAGUAAUAAGAAAUUAAGAACUUCUGCCAUGUGUUCGUGAAUUGUGAGCUCUCUGUAAUUCAGGAGGAAGAGCAAUCUUUGUCAAAGUUAUUAGGUUUGGAAAAUUUUGGAGGCCUAUGCUUGUCUACACCUAGGGUUGCAAACGGGAUCCCGCGAAAGUCCCGCUUCCAGUUCAUUUUUCAAACCUUCUAUUCAAAAUUUUGUUCAGAAUUAGAAUAAGAGAUUUGAGAAUUGAACUAGAAGCGGGACUUUCGCAGGAUCCCGUUUGCACCCUUAUCUACACCUUUCCAAAUUUUGUUUCAGUUUUCUUUCCUCAUCUCGUAAUGUCACACGGUUACAUGUCUUGUGAUGGAAAGGUGCAAUUUCCCUGUGUUUGUUAAUUACCUGAUGUGCAUUUUCGGAUCUUACUGGGCAUGCCGCUGCUCAUCCAUAAUUCCAUGUCAGCCUACUUCCUGGAGAAUUUCAGACUAUUGUGUUAACAUAUGCUGUCAAAUGCAUCUGGUAUGUAUGUGGGUUUCUGUGAUAUCAUGUGAACUAGAAGCAAUGUACCAACUCAUCCAUCAGUCGAUGCUUUGUUCAAAAGCAUUGCUAUUUACGUCCUCGAAAGCACUUUGGUUUGGUGCCUAGUGGUCUCAGGCAUAAGAAAUUCUAGGGUGUGCUCUUAUUUUAUGAACUUCUCUUGGUACUUAUCUACAUUUGAAUUUGUAACAUCUAUUAAAAAUAUUUACUAGUUUGGUUUUCACAAUGACUGAUUGCUAUGUUUAGGUGUAGUAUUCUAGUGGCAACCACCUUGUUUUAUCCAACAAAAGGGAUGAACCCCAUUACCCAACAACUUCUUUGAACCAUUUAUUAUAUUUCCCUUUUGUUUGUAUGUACUUCUACUUCCCUGUGACACAUUGCUGAAAGAUUAUAGGAGCAUUCCGGUCAUAAGAACACAUAACUUUCUCAAAUGCUUAAUGUUGUAUAUGUGCAACUGUAGUUUAUAGUAUCUUCUACUGUAGUCUAUUUCAGUGCCUGUAAAACUGAAGUCUACUACAUCUUAUGCAGGAAUUUUUAGGAACUUCGGGAAGCCCUUGAACAUAUGAAUUUCUUUUUAUUUGAACUAUUGCAUGCAUCAGAGUUCAGAACUUGAAUGCUUUCGGAAAGCUGAAAUCGAGAUGCUUUCUAUCCAGGAGAUUUUGAGCGAAGUGAAGAUGGUUAAAUUGAUGCAUGUUGCAGAGUCAGUAUUCAUUGUGAGUUCUGUACAACAGUCUUUAUGCUUGCUGUUGGUGUUCAAGAAGAUGAUAGGGGGGAUUUAGGCCUGGUGCUUGAUGUCGAUAACAAUAGUGUUCUGAGACGAUUUGGUUAGAUUUGGACUGUGAACCACUUUCUUCCACUUCCAGUGAUCCUUAGUUGCGGAAAGUUGGUUCUGUUGCCCUUUUUUUAGCUUUAUUCCUUUGUGCUCCUCUUUCCCAUUGUCAAUUCCAAACUUGCGCUGCAGUGCUCUAGUCAAUUGCUGGUUGGAACCUAUUCGCCAUACCAGUUCAAGGAUCAGUACAAUGGCUCACAGCCUCACACCAAUUGAACUUGCAGUGCUUUGCUGUGUGCCAUUCUUUUCUGUGGGCCUGCCCUGAGCAUGAAUUCACUGUGUCUAGCUGACUGCCUCCUCCAUUCAAUGAGAACUAACCGCACUGCACUACACAUUUGCUAUUUUCACAUGGAUUUUACUAAUCAUUUAUAUCAACCUGGAGAUGGACCAACGGCGGCUGUUACCUGUUGCUGAGCUGCUGUGAUUCUUGUGAAGAUAAAAUUCAGCAACCUUUGCUCAAAGGCUCGUAGCUCCUGCUUGCCGGAGCGGCAGAUGCAGGGCCGCCUUCAUGGCUCGGUUGCCAUCUCGGUUCCUGCCAUAAAAUGAAGGUCACGUCAGGGGAUGGCACACACUGGUCCAAACUCCAACCUUGUCUCUUCGUCUGCGCUUCCUGCUGCUUAAAGGCUGAACCUUUGGGCAUUUCAUCAUCACCGGCAUCAGCGAAAAGCGAAAGGCGUAAUUCGGCCGUGAACUGAAUAAUAAACCGAAGUCUUUUUGUUUUGCUUUGGUUUGGUUUCUCUUUGAACCCCGGGAUUGAGAGCCCGUACAUUCUAUUUUUUUCUCUCUAAUCGAAUGACGGAAACGACCGCCUUUUCCUAAAAAAAUAAAAUAAACCGGGUGUCACUUUUAGUGCUGCUCAAUUCAUAUUAUAUGGGCGGAGAUUCCUGAAAGGAAGCUUACUUGUUUUUUGGAAGGCAAGGACGCUUACUUCUAGUAGUCCUACCAUUUUGAGUGACAUAUUUAGAUGAUAACUUAUUUUUUGAGGGCCAUGUAAAUGCUAGCUGAAGCAAUAAAAUUUUCGUCAGAGUGGCACUAAGCCGCCGUCUCCGCUUUUUCCUUCGAGCUUGGCCACUUCGGUGGCCUGCAUAUUGGGAUCUAGCCACAACGUGUUCGUCUUUCGUGUCUGCCUCCAGAAUUUUCUUUUGCACUUCCGUUUUAUGGACUUUACUUCUUCAAAAGUAUGUCGAGUUGUCUUCCUCAAAGUUUUGGUGGUUGAGUGAUGGAGGUGCCGGUGAAGUGGCUGAAAAAAUUUGUUGGCAAUGUAAAUGAUAUUAGCACCAGCCUCCGUUUCACAGGAAAGGCGGGACUUUGGAUAUGACUUGGAUCAAACUUUGACCAUUGAUAUCAUUAUAGAUAUUUAGGAGGUUCUAAUCUAUGAAGGACAAAGAACUAAAAGGAAUAGGAAGUGUUUAUUUCUCAAUCGACAAUUAUAUCCAUCCAAUGAAAUUUUUCGCAUCCUUUGUACUUACAUGAAUUUUGUACGAAUCUCAGUAGUUAGAUCAGACGGUGGUUAGCAUCGACUUAGAAAUAGUUAUUUCUCAACCGCCUUAAAAAUAACAGAACCGAAAAAAUUACCACCAAAUACAACAAUAUGCGGUAAAUCUAGCCGUAGUUAACAUAACAAAAUUAAAGUGUCCGGUUUUGAAAGUUGGACAAAAAAAGCACGAAACUUUUUUAAGAAUGAAAAAUGAACUUUUCUGACAAGCUGAGGGACUAAAUUUUUUUUUCUUAAUAUUAAAAGUAUAUGCAUAAAUUUGUCUCGAAAAAAUUUUAAUACUAUUUUUCUUGUGCAUCAUCCAAAUCAUACAAUAAAAACUAGGGCUCAAAGUUUGAUCCUAAAAACUGACUGUAUCAGUAUCUAAAAUUUCUCUGUUUUUUGUGAACUGAAGGGGAUGAAGCAUACAUUGAGGACUUAUAUGUUUUCAAAAGAAAAGGUUGAAAACAGAGGAAUGAAAACCGAUCUGGACUAAUAAUUUGCUUCCUGUGAGAAGCAUAGAAAAUGUUCCAUUCCGUAAGGAAUCACUCUGCGGUUUUGUUUGCUCCUCCAAACAACCCAAAAAGGAAUUUAGUUUUUGAAGCAGAACAAUUCUAUAGGAAAUCAAACUUCCAGAAUUCCUUCAUAAAUCGUUUGCUCCGGCCUUCCAAAUCUCGCCCAAGCACAAUAAGUCGCCGGCUCGCCGCUAUCCACCAAUCUAACCUUGCGGAGCAUUCAUGGAGUGGUCUUGUGUUUAGCUACCCCUCAUAGUCGUAGCUGCGAGUUCGAGACUGCACCACACCGCAGCCACGUAUAUAUAAAUGCAGGUGCUGCGUGUGUUGGUUCACGCAACAAGGCGCAAGUUGCAACACAGCGUGCGGCUCGAGUCAACGAGAGUCUAGCUGUACGUACGUAUGUACGUGUCCGUUCGUUUUCGCCUAGGAGAUCAUGGCUGCGCUUCGUGUCUCCUUCGUCGUCGGGGCACUCGUCCUCUGCCUCGCCGCCGCGCAGAUUGCCGCGGCGGGGUCGUCCGACACGCUGCGGGGCACGGUGGCCUGCCUCGACUGCGCCCAGCAGCGUAACCUCUCAGGUACACCGCAGUGGAAAUGCUGAAAUGACCUGGGUGCUUGUCUCUGACGAAGGCAACACAUGCAGGUGUGGUGGUUGCGGUGAAGUGCGCCAACGGCACGGGCGUGCGCGCCGCGGAGACGGACGGCCAGGGCAGGUUCGAGGUCGCCGUGCCGGCGUCCAGAUCCAAACCAGGAUCGCCGUGCGCCGCGAGGAUCCUCGGCGGCCCGGAGCAGCUCUGCGCGCCCCCGAGGUUCGCCGCGUCGCGCGUUGUCGUCGCCCACGCGCGGCCCGGCGGCGGCUCGUACGCUCUGACUUCUCCUCUAGGCGUCUUCACACAGUGCGGUUCUGCGACCGCCCCGUCUGGUGAGCCAGAGAAGGCCACGACUGCCGCUGACGCGCCGGAGAAGGCGACGACUGCCGCUGGUGCGCCGGAGAAGGCGACGACUGCCGCUGAUGCGCCGGAGACAGCGACGGCCGCCGCGGACGACGGGACGGCUCUGGAGACGGCAAAGCCCGUCCGGCUCCCGGGGAUCGACUCGCCGCUGGACUACAACAUGGGGUUGCCUCUGAACCUCUUCUUCCCGUUCUUCCCGGUCGUCGGCGGCGGCGUCCCAUGAUCAAACAGUACUGCCAGUAUAUAUUUACGUACUACGUGUCGUGAUUGCUGCUUGCACGGACCGUACGUAGGACCUCUUUGUGAUGGCGCGGGAAUGCGGGAACUGGCGGCGUGAAUGUGUAUGAUGCAUUCGUGCUGCGUGCGUACAUUUUCUUCCGGUGUGAAUGUGAUUGUGUCGGUGUUCUCGCGCGACUGGCGCCAUGAAAAUAAGCAAGCGUAUGUGCAGGGAAAUAGGAAUUCAGUUUGGCAAUGUGAUUGUGUCAGUGUUUUCGCGCGACUGGCGCCAUGAAAAUAAUCAAACGUAUGUGCAGGGAAAUAGGAAUUCAGUUUGGCAAUGUGAUUGUGUCAGUGUUUUCGCGCGACUGGCGCCAUGAAAAUAAUCAAACGUAUGUGCAAGGAAAUGGGAAUUCAGUUUGGCUCCCGAAUCCCGAUCGAGCACAAGCGUACUCUGCUCGAUUUAACUUUGGCUCCCGCUCAAGCAUGUGCAAACGCUGAAACGUCAUGGGUAGUGGCGUUUCUAUCCUGUUAAUGUUUUUUAAAACCUAAAACUUAACGCGCCACGCUGUUGCACGCACUGCCCCAUCAAUAUUUUUUUUAGAAACCCAGUACAAACGCAGACGCUCACAAACACGAGUGAACACUCACCCCUAUGAACGCACACACGCACACCCUAUCUCUACGAGCACCUCCGAGAGACUGAGUCGGUCGGCGAGUAUUGAGAGAUUGACGAAGUCACCACAGGCGCCUCGCUGUUGACAAGUACGUCACCUACCACUGAAAGCAAAGCGCCGGUUAAAUUCUGAAUUAAAUCCAGGAAAUGCAAGCACCCAUGCCAAGUCUAGGACUUGAACCUGGGUGGGUUGGUUCCACCACAAGGCUCCAUCAAAUUUUGUGUUUGCACGCGUGCGCUGGUUUCUUUGGCAUUCACCGCAAUGAGCUGGUAAAGUGUUUGACGCAUUUGUAUGUGUACUAGCAUUUUUAGAGAUUUAAAAUGUUUUGUAGCACAAACCGUUUGCCUGAUUCACAAUAUGUUUUCACUGUUGGUUUCGUAUCGACAAGUGCUUUAAAUCUAAAUCCCAUUUUAAUGUGUUUCAAUAAAAAAAAGAACUCUUUAGUUACCAAGCGGCAAUGCACAAGUUACCAUCCUAUUUUGAAAUAAGUUGCCAUGUCGUAAAAAGUGGUAAUUUGUUAGUAAAAGAGUGGCAACUUCGUAUAUUAUUGAAUUGUAAUUUUCAUUUAUGAAUUACCACCCCUAUUUUAUAUGAAUUACCACGUGGUAGCUUGUUAUUAAUAGAGUGGUAUUUUUUUAUAUUAAUGGGUUGCAAUAUUCAUUCGUGAGAUACCACCCCUGUUUUGUAUGAAGCUGCCACAUGACAACUUAUUAUUAACAAAGUGGUAUUUUUGUAAAUUAUUAGGUCGUAACUUUUAUUCACGAGAUACCACCCAUAUUUUGUAUGAAGUUGUCACAUGGUAACUUGUUAUGAACAGAGUAAUAUUUUGUAUAUUAUUUUGUGGUAAUUUUCAUUCGCGAGAUACCAUCCCCAUCUAUAAACUCUAUAAAGUUGAAUCCCACUAAAUGCAAUAAAUUUAGCAAGCUACACAUGCAGCCUAUCCAGAUGAGCGUGUACCUUAGCGUUUUCCCCGUCUUCUAUGCCUAAGUGGUUUCUGUGAGCUCGCCGGUCCCGCGGGCGUUUUGCAAGCGAUCCCGCGACACGUUCCAGGCUUCUCCGGCCCAAGUUCGCAGCCCACCGUGAAAAAAUCCCGAACCCCGUCUCCGUCUGCUCCGCUGCCUGUCUUCCCCCGAUCCCCCAUCUCUGCGCGCCAGCCCAAUGCAUCCCUGAGCAACUUGCGCGCCGCUCCCCUUCCCCACGGCCCCACCUGUGCGCGUCGCUUUGCCUGGCCCCUGCCCUCCCUGCAUCCUCUCCCGACCACAAAUGCAGCCAUUAUGGUAAUGGAGGGAGCAAACCGUCGUCUUCUCCUUUAAAGGUCUUGCUCCUUCCGUGCAGGUGAAGGCCCGCUUGCUCACCGCGCGCCUCGCCGUCUCCCGUUCCACAUCAGCGGCAAGUCUGGCUUCCAUGACCCCUUUCGAUCCCAAGGUAUUCCAUUGCGGAGAAGCAUCGAGUUUCCGUUCACAUGUUCCUCUCUUAUCCUUCAUGCAGCCGGCAGCGUGGAUCAUCCCCUACAGCCCGCCCAACUGCUGCUUGAUUUAGUCACAGGAAGUUCCAUGCUCUGAGCUCUGAUCAAUUCCCUGGACAAAGCAUUUUUUUUGGCCCCAUCCGAAUUUACAGAUAAAACUCAAUCAAAUCUGCCUACGAUUUUGCAGAUUAGAUUGAAUCAUGUCCUCAUCCACGGGAACCAGUCAAAACUCAAAAGGUUCUGCUCUCUCUCAACGUGCAGUUAAAUAGCUACAUGUUUUGUUUUUUUGCUGGAAUAAAUAGCUACAUGCUAUUACUGUUACUGCUUAUUCAGUUCCACCGUUUUACUUUCAGGAAUUUAUCGGGCUGAGUUCUUUAGGCAUGGGGUUUUUUGUGAUAUGUUGUCAUGAGAAAAUUAGUUUGGAAGUGUGCAUGGUUGUGGGAUGCCCAAAGACAGUACUUGAAAUUGGAGUAGUGUUGGCGUUCUCCCCGACUUUGAUCCAUGUAUAAUGCAAGGCUUCGGAGGUGCUACUGUGUGCAAUCUGAACAUCUUUGAUCAUUACUUAGUAUUAUGACAAUAUCACCAUUGGUUCCUAUUUUGCAUCUUAGCAACAUAAGGCACCAUUGCACUCAGCAAGUUGUACUAAUUCUCCCUACCAUUUUAUGGUAUUCUAAACUAAAGUCUUAAACAUUGAUGUGCCAAUGUUAUAUAACUAUGAGCAGGGGCGGAGCCGGGCCUGGUGCUACCGGUGCCGUAGCACCGGCCUGGCAAGGAUGCUCACAAGAGGAUUCAUCAAGUAUUUAGUUCAUUAGUAUGUAAAAUUCACAAGUAUAGCAUCAUUAGUGCUAUCUUAGCACCAUCCUUGUCCGGUUUUUCGGCUCCGCCACUGACUAUGAGUAUUUGUUAAGCAUUGCACUGACAUUUGGCAAUAAACCUAUAUCUCCAGCUAUUUCAAGAGGCAGGCUGCCUUAUGCAUUUUUAGCUAAUAUGCACUACAUAUCCUCGCAUGUUUGUAUGAUUACAAACCCUUGAAAGAGUUGAAUUUUGGUUUUCAUAGUGGCCUUAAACAGAGAAAUUCCAUUGGACUGCAACUCUGCCUUUUUCACACGCCGGUGUACAAUUUCACAAAAUUGUGUCCUUAGAAAGUGCACCAUUGUGACAAUAGUUGCUUCCAGAUUCAUGGGAUUUCAAUUUAAUUUUCGAAUCAAUAACAUAUUUUACUAAAAACAAGGUUUGGACUGUUUUUCAAUUCAGUUUGAUUAGGUAUGGAAGAUUUAAAAAUUCUCAUUUGGUAUAUGCUUUAAAAGUCCCGCCGCAACGCGCGGGGUUUCAUCUAGUUUUGAAUGAAGCUGCCACAUAACAACUUAUUAUUAACAGAGUGGUAGCUUCAUAUAUUAUUAGAUGAUAACAUUUAGGAUUGAUUUGUUUUUGUCAAAACAUAUCAAUAUGAAGACAUAGUUUGAAAUCUCGUCGAGACAAAGCUAACCGUUUAGACGGAUUUUAAAUCGAGUAAACGGUUUGAAAGUUUCAGCUUUUCAAAGUUCAAAUCUUCAUACCAUGCUGCUGCUGCAUGUGACUCGUACGCGCGGCCGUGCCAUCGUGCGAAGGGUCGCAUGUUAGGCAGCGUCCAUUUUAAAAAGGUUAAUGUUUUUUUAUUUUGGCCCUGAAAACCCCCGUUGGUCAAUGCUGCUGUAAAAGCCCAACAACCAAACAAAGCUGGCCACUCUGCAACACAUUGGACUGAAAGCCGACCGUUAAACAACGAGCCCGCUUCAGAAGUCCAACACAACGUUUGGCCCGGCCCAGCCUUCCCUCAAAAGAAGAAAAGACGGAACGCCGCUUCCUCGUCGGCGGCGGCUGCUGUGCUCCCCUAGUCCCCUUCCUGAUCUCCCACUUCCCACUAGGCCACUUUCCGUCUCCUCCGUCCCGCGGCCUCCCGCCGGGCAGUCCGGCAGUCCGGCAGACCCGAAAAGAAAGCAAAACAAAAAAUAUGGAAAACCAAACUUGUUCCGCAAGACUGGCUCACACCAAAUCCCAUCGCCGCUCGAGCCACUGCUCUUGGCUGAUCCGUUCGCCUCCCGCUUCGCAAGCCACAGCCCAGAGGCCCCACGCCCAGCUCCUCCCACUCUGAUUUCGAAGCCAGCGAGCCAUGUCGAUUCGGCCAGUGUGGAUGCCAGAGCCACCCGGUGGGGGCACGGGGGCGCCGGAGAUCUUCGCGGGCGGCGCCGGCACGGUGCGCCGCGCCAUCGUCAUCGGGAACGGCUGUGCCGGCGCCGAGAACCAGUGCCUCGGCCUCGUCCGCGCCCUCGGCCUCGCCGACCGCCUCACGCUCUACGUAAGAUUUCGCCCCCCUCGUUUCCUCUCCGCGAGCGGUGAUAGUGUGAUGGGAUCGCUGUUGAUUAGUCGUAGAAGGCUUAAAUGGGUUGCGCAUGUUGUUCGUGCUUGCGGUAUGUGUUGGGAACUGAAGCAUAGAGUGGAAGUCAAUUUCAUUCAUUAUUAUGUACUCUGUCAUGAGCUGUCAAGAGUUUCAUCUGUUGCUGCAACGAGGGUGCGUGAACAUGAGUGUCAACUGUCAGGUUGAUUCUGAAAUGGUUCGUCAACUCAACUCCCAGAUGGUGGUUGUCGGAUUUGGUACUGGUUAGUUGUUGGCAUGGCUUUUUCUGUGUGCAUUCAUGGGGUUUGCAGCAGCAAGUAAAAAACUCGACCUGCAAAGGGGUAAGCCACCCCCCCCAGACAUUUGCAUUAAGAAGAAGACCUUCUCACGCAGGUCGAAAAAUCCUCGAACCCCUGCCCCACACCAUACACAGCGGCACCGAAGCCCGUGUGAGAGCGGGCGGGCCUUAGGUCUGUGCUUAAGGCGUGGGGCAGACGAGAGGACUUUUUAACCCCAGCCUGAAAUUCGCUCCCAUGGGGAGUCGAACUCAGGACCUGAGGAGUGCUACUAGAGUUGUUCCUUAACCAUUACGCCAAGGGCUCGUUCGCUGCAGCAGCAAGUAGCAUGGACUGAAUUUUGGAUUGCGAUGUGUUGAUGGCAAUCGCUCUGCCCUAAAAGGCUGAAAUACUCUAAAUAGAUUGUCAUUUCUUUCUAGCUUCUUGUUACUUGUGUAUGCGGGCAGAUGCUUGUCCUGUAUCACCUCUGUUAACAAAUACUAAUAAGAAGGCUAACAAGAAGCAAAGUCCUUAUUGUUAAUUCUGGCUUCACCAUAUAGUCUUGUCUUAAGUUCUUAUCAACUUCCUCAGUACUUUUGCUAGGUCUCAUUUGGUAAAUUUUCCGAUGGAGGGUAGCUUUUAUUAUCUGAUAAUUUCAUAUAACUAUGGCAGUGACUGCUUCCAAAUGUUUUUUUCACUCUUGUUCUCACAGAUUUAGAGUUACAGCUCAUUAUUUAUUAUUUUUCUGGUGAAAUCUGUUCAUGCAGCGUAUUACCAGGCCAAUAGGAGGAAUCAACAAGUGGCUGCACUUUCUCCCGAUCUCCUUGCACAAGAUAGUGGACCAAAUACUGAGACAUAUAUUUUCUAAUACGACAUUUGCACCAUUGUUUCAAGGAAAAAUGCUUGCACCUUAUCCUGUCCAUAAUGUUCAAUCAUUUGGAUUGUCUUCUGUACUGGAAGCAGAUACCAAAAAGAUAGUGACAGUGGUGCAUGAUACUUUUGAGAAGUACGGUUCACAUUUCUUAUACUGCUAUUUGUUGUUUGUGCACUACUGUGCAGUUUAUAUUUAGCAUGGUAUCAAUGUCGCAGUGCCAGUUCUGAAUAUCUCUAUCCAAUCCCUUGUUACAACAUAUGAUCCAGGAAAUCUCAACACUCAUCCUUCUAUUCACUUUUUUUUAUUGGAUCUACUUAGAACAUUAUAAAUUCCUUGUAAAGUUACAAUUACCACAUGCAUUAAUUUAUAUAUGACUGAGGUUUUGUUGAUAUAGUAGAAUCAUACAUUUUAAUUCUGAUAUAUGUUGGCCAUGGAUCAUAUAAGAGUACAUGGUAUUGAUAUAACUACCAUGACAGGUUAUAUCCUUGAAUGGUUGUUUCCAUACCUCUAGGAAGAAUAUUGGAAAGAUAGGGUGUCUUUUUAUGAAUUCCAAAUAGGCAACUUGUUAGGACAUACUCUGGUUGGCCACUUCUCUUAUGCAAAAGUAAACUAGAACUAGGCUAAACAUUUUGUAGGAUUUGUUUCUGCCAUAAGCUCUUUAAUAUUCUCAGCAUCUAGUUUUCCUGGAAUACUUCCUCAAACUUUGCUUUGCUUUCAGGGAAGGCCUGGCAAUAGUUGUUGCUUGUGGCCGAGAUACCAUAUCAUAUGCAAGUUCAGUAAGAUUUUUAGCUCCGGAUAAUGUUUUUGUCAUUCAGGUAGAAUACUAAAAUGAAUAUAUCAUUUGUUUAUUUGAUUAUUUGUCAGCCAUUAUAUUCUCAUUGUGAUUACGUCAGAUACAACACCCCAGGUAUCGCCUUGAUAGGUUUGAUUUGGUGGUGACUCCUCGUCAUGAUUACUAUGCGUUAACUGCAAAGGGGCAACAGGAAAUUCCACGCCUUUUCCGCACAUGGAUUACUCCACGAGAACCACCUGGGCCAAAUGUGGUAUGCUGAUUUUUUAUCUUGCAAACAAAAUAUCUCAUUUGUUGUCAUCAAAUAGCUUCCCAGUUCUAAACUUCGAAAUCUGGAAAGGCAGGUUCUGACUGCUGGUGCACUUCACCAAGCAGAUUCUGCUACACUACGCAUUGCUGCUACAAACUGGCAUGAUGAACUUGCUCCCCUGACAAAGCCAUUGGUAGUAGUAAACAUUGGAGGACCAACAAGUAAACCCCUCUUUCCCUUCCUGCCUGUCUAUCUGCCGAAUAACCCUUGCUUCGCGAUAUGCCAUUGAACAAGUCAUGUUUUCUCAUAUACGACUGUUUUAUGAAACUGCGGCCUUCCAUGCCAUUGCUCACCGCUGUAGAUGAAUGAGCUGGCUCUUUGGCUGGAUCCCCCCCCCCCCCCUCCUGCAGGCCGCUUUCCCCCAUCUCAUCCGAGUACCAAAACGUCCAUGUACUUGAUCUCUUCCAUGCAGCAGUUGGAUUUCCAGCUGUGAUUUUUGGCUGGGAGCAGAUGCUGGGCUGGUGACGAUAGCAUAAUGGGUAUAACUUCUUGUAACUGAUGGCAUGCGAGGAAUAAUCACUUAAUUGAUGACAUAUCGUAUCUCCUAAUGUUACGUUAGCAUGUAUAUGCUUUACAUAGGCUAGUUCGAUUGGAUAAGAAAAAUGUGCAAUGCCACACAGGCACAGAGAGUUGGAGACACUACACACAAUUUCAAAAUAGAUAACUCCUUGUGUGUGUGUAGCAAGGGAAUAGCUCAGCUUUUUUUAUCUGCUGAAUUCCCCCUUCUUUUGGUAUGGUAUUGCCGUAUGGCGCUUGCUAUUGAGCAAGAAUACUUUCACAUAUGCAGUAGCCGGUCUUUCACAUACUUUGUGCAUCACAACAUAAUCAUGUUUAUUGUGAAUUUGUGGUAGAAUAUUCCAGUUGAAUGUUUCGUUCUUCACUAUAGUUAAAAAAUAUUGGUAUAACACAUUCUGCAUGUUAAAAGAUGGGAUUGUUUGAUUACUGCAAUAAAUAAUGUCGCGAACUUAAAUAAGUUGCAUUCAUAAUUGCAAGUGCUCCAGUCCAAUAUGCGUCUCUCGCAAAAAAGAAAGUCCAACAUGCGUCUCUCGCAAAAAAAAAGUCCAACAUGCAUCAUCUGAAACAACUCAAAACUGAUUGAUUUCUUUUAGUUUGCAUUGUGAAGCCUAGCUUCCAAAAUAAGAUGGAUAAUUGCAUUUCCAGUAGGCCUUAAUCCUAGAUUCCCUGUCAUCAGGAAUUCCAUUACGAUCUUGCAUUUUCUUCAUAAAUCAUGAAUACUGAGCACAACAUGUUAUUUUAUUUACAUUUUCGUAAUUGUAUCACGCCAUUCGAUUGCGGAAUUGAAGUUAGACUCUACGCUCAUAGCAUAACAAGUUAUUCUAUUUGCAUUCUGGCCGUUAGAUCGCGCAAGUCAAUUGAGGAAUUUAAGUUGCAUGUACACUCUAAUCUAAAUAAGUGUGAAAACAACACGUUAAUAUUCUCUCAUUCAUGCAAAAUCUUCCAUUCCACAUGCUUUCUCUUCCUCUUACUCCCUCCAGACAGAGGAAUAAUGUUUUAAGAUACGUGCAGUCAAACUUUCAAAAUUUUGGCUAGCUGCGUUUUCAUGAUUAUUUAGAUUAGAGCUAACCACAUUACAAAGUAAGUUGAUGCAAAAAAAAGAGACUUUUUAUGCAUCGCUUACUUUAUCAUAUUUUAGUUUAUUUUACUUUGAGCGUACAGGUUGAGCAGUUUCUGCUUUCACACAUGUAUAGAUAGAUCUAACGCAUAGCACUUCAAUUGUCAGGAAACUGUAAUUAUGGUGUCGACCUUGCUAAGCAGCUAGUAAGCUCACUACACAAAGUUUUAAAGACCUGUGGAAGUGUCAGAAUUUCAUUUUCCAGGAGAACACCACAAAAGGUAGAACUAUUGAUUGUUCAUGUCAUGUUUCAUGCAUUGCUCACACUUCAAAUUCUAAACCAUUUCCUGGCAGGUGUCUGAUCUUAUAUUGAAAGAGUUCAGCACACAUCCUAAGUUUUACAUUUGGGAUGGUGAAUGUACAUGCUAUAUAAGAAAAUUUCAUCGUUUUAAUCUUUAUAUGCAGCGGAGAAUUUAUGUUGAGCUGGAUUUUCUGCUGCAGAACCUAACCCGCACCUAGGGCACCUCGCAUGGGCUGAUGCUUUCAUCAUAACAGCAGACUCAAUAAGUAUGAUAAGUGAGGCGUGCAGCACUGGGUGAGUUAUUGUGCUACGGAGUAGUAUACUUCUAUUUGUAAAUGUUGCUCAUGUUUGAGGUUCAUAGCUUGAUAGCUAAGCUCUCUGUUACAACUUUAUACAGGAAGCCAGUUUAUGUUAUUGGAACUGAGCACUGCAGGUGGAAAUUCUCAGAUUUUCACAGCACUCUUCAUAAACGAGGGGCUGUUCGUCCUUUCACUGGAUUGGAAGAUGUAAGUCUAAUAUUUGUUCUCUGUUACUGAUCAAGACCAAGUCAUCUCUUCUGUAGUCAAUCACAUUCUCCGUCAUAUCAGCUUUGGAAGUCUUAAGUUUAGAAGUUUGAAAUUUUCUCAAGGAAAACUCAUGGUGUCUAUGUGAUCAUGUCCUCAAUUGUAGAUGUCAGACAGCUGGAGCUACCCUCCCCUGAACGAUGCCAUUGAUGUGGCCGCACGGGUUCGUGAAGUGCUCGCAGAACGUGGAUGGAGACUGUCGUAAAUUCGUAAUAGCAACCGUAGUAGAGAAAGGAGAGUGCGAAUUUGUUUCAGUUCCGUUUCGAGCCUGCACAUCAUUUAACUUAGUUGCACUGUUGCACGUGCAUUCUUUAUUUUUACAAAGGCUCACCAAAGACCAAAGGGUGGCAAUUCCAAAUAUGAGAGAGAGAAGGGAUGCGGCGUUGCUGUACGGUUUGCUAACUAUCAACCAUAUGGAUGCAUCAUUUUAAGUAUGGGUUACUAUUUAAUUAGCAUGUAUUAAUUAAUUCUAACACUUCUGCCAAUCAAUGUUUGUCCUUAUGAUCAAAUAAAGACUUCUUAAAAAACCCAUGGGAAAAAUAUGAGAUUACUAUCUGAUAUGCUGCUAAAACUCAUUCAGACCUAAUGAAAAAAAAGAAGAGAAAAUGUUACAGCAUAUAGUGAUUAUUGUCUCCUUGGUAACUCAUAUGAGAAAAUUUUAAAAAGGACAAAACCCAUAAACAAGUUUAUAGGACAAUAAAUAUGUUUAUAUACUUCCUUUAAAAACCUGGGGAAAAAAGAGGUUGCCAUAUAAUUUUGGGUUGAUAUUACCUCAAAUAAAACCUUGAUGACCUUGAUGAGAACUUAGAGUAAACUCAUAAGGAAAAAAAGAGUGGAAUAUGAUGUUUGAGCAACUGGUGAAGGGAAAAUGAGCGCAAUAUGGUGUUUGGAUAGGUUAUACCUUGCAGGACAAUAAGUGCCUGGCCGGUCUCUAGGCAAGGAAUCUUCUACCUCUUUCAAUCGUUAACCUGGUGAAAGUGAAAUGAUUUUUUGAUGUUGGUUAUAAGUAUGAAACGAAACAAACAUGAGCUAUUUGUAGGCAUGCUGCAUAUAUAGUCUGCAGCUUUGAGUACAAAAAGGAGAGGGAAAAUAUAUAUAACAGGGGAAAGAACUCAUAAAAAAACCAGCUGGCCUGAAGAUAGGAGAGUGGUGGACAGAGGGAAAUAUGAUGAGGCCUAGAGUCACAAAGUAUGCAUGUGUGGUACAAUUAACAAAUAGUAUAUUUUUGUUUCGGAAUGCUAGCAGGAGGCAAACGCCAACCCUACUGGCGUUUGGCUCGUGGCUGCCAACGCCAAUUUCAUCAGGUUGAUACGGGUUUCCAAAAAAAAAGUCAAAUUUGGAAAUAGUUUGGCGGAGAAGGGUUAUUUUUGCCUCAAGUUUUCGAAAAGGUUCAAUUUCGUUGAUUUGUAGGAUGCUCACUGGGUUUCUUCAAUUCAUUGAUGAUGACCGCACCAAUGGCCUCUUUGAUUCACAAGAUUUUUGAUGUAGGUAUAAAAAAGAACAGUAAGCGGGAAAGGUUCCACGUUCAAGGCAGAAGAUUAUAUGAAAACACUAUAGAAUUGAGUGCUUGCUCUAAAAAAGAAGGGAAAUACAUGAUUUCAAUAAGCAUAACCAACUGGAACUCAAAGCACAUGCAAAGGUUAAAAAAACAUGUUAUUUCCCACUCAAUACUAUAUGGAAUGUCUACGAAAGGGCGCGAUUUAUUUCGGAACCAUGUUUUCCCUUGUAACUAAGGUCUCAGCUUUGAUAUACAAAGAACAAGUCAACUUUUUCUUAACUCUUUUCUUAGAACUACGAGGCAAUUUAAAAAAAAGUGCAAUAGAGUGAGCAUAGAGAACAAAAGUUCAUCGAUAAAACAAUAAGAUCAUCGCGGUCUUUCAAAAUCAACGCCUCUAGAUCCACUUCUCUCAUCUUGACAAAACGAUUUGAACAAGUUGGAGUAAACUUAUAGGUUUUGAAAAGUCACAUGAGUCACCCACCUUAGACGAUAAAAACGUGAAUUGUUGAAUGCAUCCUGAGCGAGGACACACUCCUCACAAGCAAGCUGUGAAACCGUACUCCCGUUGAUGAAUCCACAAGAAAAAGAGAUAAAAACAUGAAAAGAUAAGUCAAGAGAACCACCGACUUCAUGAAGUACGUCACGUCAUCUAUCUAUACGAGGACAAAGUCAGAACACUAUUUGUAUGGAUGACACCAUCUCUAAGGCUAAGAUGUCACCGUCAAGAAUACACAAACUUAGAAAAAAAAAGUUAGGAUAACUAUCUAAAAGGGAAAUCAUGACUUUUUUUUAUAGCAAGGAAAAGCAAGAUUUUUCCUUAAAAAAAUAAUGUGUAGUUUAUUUUUAAGGAAAAGGGAAAGGUGAAGCAGAAGAUGCGAUAGGCCACUACCCCCGAAUUUCCUUUUUUUAGGGUAACCCCUGAAUUUCCCUCUCUUUUUUUUGUAAAAGGUAGGAUCGAUACGGAAGGAUCACGAAUUUAUUCAUUAGUAGUGACCUUAGCACAGCAUACAAACACACCCACUAAAGAUAUCGAAAUACAAACAAGUCCCUAGACUUUGCAUAAAGGACCCUUAAUGGGGAAGAAGAAACGCAAUUGGGUCCUCAACCCCCAAUCGGAGCUCUCCUCGCCGUCGCCGGGGACUGCCACUUGGGACGACGAAGCCGUCGCAACCGCUGCGACCGCCAGUCGAGAGUUGAGCUGCCUCCAAAUCGGCCCUCUGGCCAGGAGGAAAGGAGUUGGUUGCCCUUCGACCAGAAGAUGCAGUGGUACGGCUGGAGCAGGCAGCCGAUUGCCGGCGCCGUAGCUCCACCACGGUGACCACCGCUGAUGCGCACGACCACAAGAGGGAAGCUUCAACCUGCCUCCGUCUUCUCGCUGGAGAACCACCACCAUGGUGACUCCAACAGCAAGGAGAGGACCCGAGAACUCCCUGCAAAGAAAGGACCGCGAGUUUAUUUGGGAGGUUGCCGGCGACCAUCUCCACGGCAGACGUCCCCUAGCCACCACACGGAUCCCCACCGCCAAGCGCCGACGACCGCUAUUCUCCCAUGGCCACGGACUGCCUCCUAACGGCAUAGUGCCACACCCCGGCAUCAAGCCGAACACCCACGAAGGGAAACCUAACUACAACGGAGCUCCGACACCUCCCCCAUCCCCAUCCCAAUCGGUGAGGUCCGGGUUCAGGCCGAGCUCCAUGCGAGAUCUAGGGUUUUCUUCAAGAACAGUAGAGAGGGGAGGGGAAAGAAGACAGGGCUCUACAGUCUUAUUUUGGAUGUCCCGAAUUUCCCUCCAGUUUGUCUUUUCUUCGUAACAAUUGAAGGCCCAAGGGCCAAGGCCCAGUUUGUCACGCAAUUCUCGCAGCAAACCCUAGCAGCACCCCCAAGUCCCGCAGAGAUCUGCCUGUCCCGUCCCCGACGCGGUCCUAAACCCUCCUCCCCUUCUCUCACCUAUCCACCCUUCUCGACCGCCGCCGCCGUCCUAGCCACAGGAGGCGAGCGAGAUGGUAAGAUCCGGAGGGCCCUUGGAAGCAUAAUGCUGAUCAUACCUGGUAUCCUUUUCUGCUGAUCUAGUGUAGUGUAUUCAUGUGCUUUUUUUAAUACUUCUUCAGGUGUUUGUGAAGACCCAGAAGACCAGGGCCUACUCCAAGCGCUUCCAAGUGAAGUUCAAGAGAAGGAGACGUAUGUUCAAUUCCGUGACUCGAUGACUCUGGUGCUUCCGCCGUUUUGACUGUUCCUGAUGAAUUUCCUUUCGUUUGCGCUUGUCUGCAGAGGGGAAGACUGAUUACAGGGCCAGACUGAGGCUCACUAACCAAGACAAGAACAAGUACAACACACCCAAGUACCGGUUUGUUGUGCGAUUUGUAUCCUUAAGUUGCUCAUAGUGUUGUGCACUGGUCGAUCAUAUCCAUUGCGAUUAUUUAUGACCAUAACUUUGACCAGUAGAGGCAUAUUGUAUCUCUUAACAAUAGUAAUCAGACCAACAAGGAUGUCACUGCCCAAAUUGUGUACGCUACCAUUGCUGGUGAUAUCGUGAUGGCUGCUGCCUAUUCUCAUGAGCUGCCUCGGUAUGGUCUUGAAGUUGGCCUCACCAACUAUGCUGCAGGUAGGCUGAUCAACUGAAUAGUGCAUAUUGUGAUGCAUGUAUUGUUACUUAAUACAGUUUGACUGAUUAAAUGCAUUGUGCAGCCUACUGCACUGGUCUGCUUUUGGCUCGCCGGGUGCUCAAGUUCCGUGAUUUGGACCAGGAAUAUGAGGGCAAUGUUGAGGUAUAAUUCAUUAGAAAGAAAAGAUUUAUUUCAGACUAGUAUUCUCUGGUGCUGCUUUUGAUGAACACUCGUAAUUCUCUGUCUGAACUCAGGCCAGUGGGGAGGACUUCUCAGUUGAGCCAUCUGAUGAAAGGAGGCCUUUCCGUGCUCUCUUAGAUGUUGGCCUUAUUAGAACUACUACUGGAAACCGUGUGUUUGGUGCCCUUAAGGUAUGAUGCUUGUAUGGUAUGAACGUGUUCUUGUAAGAAUACUCUUAAUGGUUGGUUAUACUUGUACUCUUGUAUGUGCAAGCAUGCCGAUUUUUGAAAUGAAAGUCUUUGGACCGAUUCCCACUUGUCUAGAGCUAUCUUGGAUUUAGACUUGUUAAUUUGCACUGUCAAAGUUAUUUUAGGUGUUCAUCCCAUUUAUUAGGUCAAGUUUCUAUUUCAGUAAACAGCAUGCCUAAAUGCCAUUUAAGAUAGCGACGUAUAUGUUUUCAACCUGGAUUUGCACAAAGGAAUACCUUACUAUUUUGUUACACUUUAGAUUUGCAUCUAACGAUGUUUUCUGCUUAAUAUUUGGUGUAUUCUCUUUGCUGCUGCAGGGUGCAUUGGACGGUGGUCUUGACAUUCCACACAGUGACAAGAGAUUUGCUGGCUUCAAGAAGGAUGAAAAGCAGCUGGAUGCGGAGGUUCACCGCAAGUACAUCUAUGGAGGGCAUGUUGCUGACUACAUGAAGGUCAGUUGCGAAUAUUGCUAUCAUGAUGUUAUAAUGGAUAAUGCCAUUUCUUCAUUCCAUAGCAUUAUUGUUAUUGGAAGUACUUGAUUUCUUUCAGAAAGAUAAGUAGUCCAGUUCUUAUAUGUAUUAAGAAGAAAACCUAGCAAUGUACUUUGUUGUCAUUUUUGAAUGACCUACUGAUUCUCAGUUUGAAUUUUGACCCUUGUUCCAGACACUAGCAGAGGAGGAACCUGAGAAGUACCAAUCUCACUUCAGUGAGUACAUCAAGAAGGGGAUUGAGGCUGGUGGCAUGGAAGCGCUGUACAAGAAGGUUCAUGCUGCCAUUCGUGCUGAUCCUACCCUGGCCAAAUCAACCAAGGAACCUCCAAAGACACACAAGAGGUAUAUAUGGAUACCUGUUUAUUGAAGUUGCUCAAGUUAUUCACCACCAUCACAUGAUUGUAAGUUAACUAAACAUUUCACUGCAGGUACAAUCUGAAGAAGUUGACCUACGAGCAGAGGAAGGCCAGCCUCGUAGAACGGCUCAACGCCCUCAACUCCUCUGCUGGUGCUGAUGUUGAUGAGGACGACGACGAAUGAGGAGUUUAGCCGACUGUGCUAGUGCUAUAUUUUUGUUUUCAAACAAAACUUGCUCUAUGCUGUUCACCGGUAGUAUUGCAAGAGUCGUUGCGCAAGUUCGGCACUAUGCACAAUUUGUACCCGCCUCUCAGUUUUGACUAUCAGGCAGGAGUUCUGGAUUUAUCUUAUACGAGCUGUUGGCAUCUAGCGUCUUGAUAUUGCUUUGAGUUUGUUGAUAUGGUGUUUUGUCUGCCGUGGAUGUUAUGAUCUGCCGAAUUGCUUUUCUUGCUUUCAUUUGCAUUGAAGUCCUUCGCUAAUUGAAUAGGAUGCCCCGCUUCUGUCAUGGUGGUAUAUUGGAGAGGAUAGUUCAGCUGGUUUGGAUCUCAGUUAAGCUUCUAGUGAUUUCCAAUGCCCGGACAGAGCUCUGCUACCUCGAAACUGCCUUUCUGAUUUCUCCCUUGUUCUUCUGGGUUAUGAGCGCCGGUUCUUUCUGAAUUCUGACUUUCUGAGUAGAAUACGAUGUGCGAAUGGGAUUGGCACAGACUGAUUUAUUUCUAGCUAGAAGAACUGCUUCCGCGCACGCCGAACUCGCCUCUCCUCUCCCAAGUUCCCCCAAGUCCCAACUCAACGAUUAUCGUGGCCGAGAAUAAAAGCGACGAACUGCCGCCUCUGCUCCCUGACUCCCCCAGCCAACUCUCCCGCUCACUCCCACUUACCAUGGCGGCGCUGCGUGAGGCCUCCCGCCGCCUGUUCUUCUCCGCGAGGAAUCCUGCCGGAGCCGCCAUGCGGCCCCUGCUCCUCGCGCAAUCUCGCGGCAUCACACACAAGCUCUUCAUCGGAGGUUAGUCUCCUCACGCGCGCAUCCCACCGUACGCCAGUUCAGUCGCCCUGGCUCUAGUCGCGCGUGUACGGUGUACGGCAUUAGAGGUAGUGCGUCAAUGCGACGCGCCGCCUUGGGGCCGUGCAUGCCUAGCGUUCGACGAAAUGCCCAUAUAGGCAGGGUGGUUUUAGUGCCAUGACUGGCUUACUUUAUACGGUAACUGCAACAGUGCAGUGGAGCUGCCUGGUUUUACUUGUAACGUCUUUUAACAGAUGGUUCGAAUUCCUUGCCUUCUGCGGUUAAUCCUGCUUUGCUAGCUGAAGUCAAAACUAAUUUCAAGAACACUGAUGUUCGUGGGAAUUAGUUUAGGAGACAUGGUGUCGCAAUAUAUAUACCUAUAUGGACAUCUGGGUAGGUGCAUAUUCUAAUAUCCUCCUUUCUUUUUCCAUAAAGUGUGCAUUCAAUUGGUCUGCAAUACGUUCUGCUGAUAUAUAACUAGGUAGCACAGAUUAUGAAAUUGGUUUUGCUAUUUCUAAGGCGACUGAGAAAUAACUAUUUCUAAGUCAGCGCUCACAACCAUAUGAUCCAAUUACUGAGAUUCGUGCAAGAUUCAUAUAAGUAUAAAAUGAUGAAAAAAUUCUUAAUUGGAUGGCUAUGAUCGUUGACUGAGAAAUAGACACUCCCUUAUGAAAUACUUCAAAAAUAAUCAAUUGUAAAUACCAUAUGAGUAACAAGGUUCCUAAGGUAAAUUCAGUUCAAAGAACUGAAGUAAAUUCACGCUAAAUGCAUUGUUAUACAUCAUACUAUGGUCAACUUAACUGAUAUAACUUCAAUGAAUAGCACGGUUACUAGGUAUACUAGCAUGUCACGCAACUUUGGUCAUGCUGCUGAUUUACAAGCAAUAUGCUGGUUAUCACUAUCAUGCUAGUUUCAGUUGAUUUUCUUGUUAUUCGUGCAAGUACGUGGGAUUGAAGUCAUUGAACUAAUAAUUUUAUUUGGUCUGUCCAAGCCGAAAUUCUUAUUCGGUAGAAGAAAUAAACAAAAUUACAGGACUGAGAAUUGUUCGGACCAGUUGGAAACAGUUGUGAUAUGUCUGUUCAAGAACUGCCCCUAUGAUUUUGUCUUAAUUUCCGAUACUUUUGCAGGCCUGUCACAAUUUGCAACCGAAGACACCCUAGCAGAAGCUUUCGCGCGUUACGGCCAAGUAUUAGAAGGUCUAUGCUCAUCACUUGCCAGAACAAACUCCCGAUAAUGUUUAAUAAUUAUUUUUCCUGUUGUUACGACCUAAGUUACAACCUGUUCUUGUUUGAGCUUAGCAACCAUUGUCACGGAUAAGAUGACCAAUCGAUCAAAAGGAUUCGGCUUUGUGAAAUUUGCCUCUGAGGAAGAAGCUAAUAAAGCACGGGACGAGAUGAACGGCAAGGCAAGUUGUUGAUCAAGUACUGCUUAGUUUGUUUGCGAUAAAGUAUUGCAUUGUUAAACUUCGUAAUGUUGUAUAUUUUGUCGCUCCAUUUGGCAUCUAGUAAAAUCCUUUAUUCAAGUAGAAGAGCUGAGCACUGCAAGCUUGUAACAGGUUCUGAACGGGCGAGUUAUAUAUGUCGACAUUGCAAAGGCCAAACAGGAUCGUGCUACAGACGUACUUCCAAUAGCGAGCGGCCCUCCUAAGCCAAUAGGCAACAGCAGUUAGAUGUGUUCAUACUAGAACAUAAGAAGUUAUGUUCUAGUAGAGUAAAGCUCUUAGAGAAAAGCUUAUGUAUAAUAAUAUUCUGAAUUUUAUGUUACUAGAACAUAAGAAGUCCAUUUAACAGCCUAGAUGUAUCAUAGAACAUCACAUCCAAGAACACAGCUUAUGCUGUACGUGUUCUUGUACUGUGUCAUCAAAAGGGUGCUGCUGUAAUCUUGUUCCUCGGAAUGAUAUUGUUGUUACGGAUUGAUUGCACAUACCAGCUGCAUUUGUCCUUGAAGCUGUGCUGGAACAGUAUCUUCCCUGUGGCUGCUGUGUAGGGAACCGAUGGCCUCGCUGUUCAUAUGAACAGUUCUAAACUUCAUUCAAUCGCUGGAAGUGGGGGAACAGUAGCUUUUGAUUGUACGGAUCUGUGAAGGACAAUGCACUCAACGGCAGAUAACCGUGUCAUUUUCACCUUUUAUCAGGUGGAAAACGUUGUCAUUUGAUUGACAGAUUCGAUGUACACUCCCUAACUACCAAGGAGAAAAGGUACACAAUACACGAUUUACAAGAUCCUACUACUUGAUGUUGUCUUAAUUGGAACGCCGAAGUUUCGUGCGAAUUUCGCUCUAGUUUUACGGAAGCAUCUCCUUUUCUGCAAAAUCAUGGAAAAAACACAAUCUUGCUCUCCAAAGGGCUAAUGAUAUCUCUCAUCUUGUGGACGGCCGAUCACCGGAGCAGGACGGUGGCAAUGAAGGCGAGCACGGCGACGGCGCUGGCGGCGGAGCAGCAGAGGUCAACGAGCGCCUCGCGCCGGGCCUUGCUCUCCUUCCUCCCCUUCUUGCUCUUCACGAACGCUUCGUACCUCGCCUUCGCCUCGCCCUGCUCUGCUUUCCCACCCUUCCUCUGGCCCUCCAUCGCCGCGGCCAGAAGACGGAGGCCGCGCUCGCCGCUCACCGCGGCGCCGUCGGCGUCCUCCGCGGCGAGGCUGACCUCGCUGACGUGGCCGGUCUCCUCGGAGCACGCCACGGUGGCCUCGAAGCUGCACCCGCCCAGCACCACCGCGAACCGGACCAGCGUGUCGCCGGUGUACCAGUGCCGGCCCACGGCCACGGCCCGCCUGCUCGACACGUUCACGGCCCGCCCGCGGGCCCGGUCCACGACCAGCCAGCUCAGCUCCAGCUCCGACGGAGACAACAAGGAAGCUGUCGCGGCUGUAACCGGCGCAGGCUUGGUGCAGUCGGCCACGGCAUCGACGCGGAACGGCGAGCUGAGGAACCACGGCGAGGACGCCGCGGGCGUCUCCACCACGGCGGAAAGCAGGGCCGCGCCCCUGUAGUGCACGUCCACCGCGGAGACGAGCUCCCCGGGGAGACCGGCUCCGGGGCCGAGCUCGGUGGCGUCUGGGCACGGGAAAGGGAGCGCGUCGGCGAAGAGGCGCCGCGGCGGGACUGACGAGAGGGCCCCCUGCUGGGACGCGACGGACGGCCACUCGGCGAGGCAGAGCGCGCGCCAGGUGUCCGGGUCGGCGGCGAGCGCGCGGAGCCCCGCCGUGGCGCAGCUCGCCGCGGCCAGGGACCGGCCGUCCAGGCGCCGCAGCGCGCGCGCCAGCACGUCCACGGGCAGGUCCUCUAUCGUGGUCACCGCCAUUUGAGAUCGGGCGCUUCAGUUCAGUUGUUCCUUGGGAUUCUUUGGGAAACCGAUGAUGGGAAAGUAUCUUGGUUGGCUUCGCUGCGCGGUGUGCGGUUAUAUAAACCGGCGCGACUUCAGCGCGGUGGACUCUCUCUGGUGUCUGCGACGCGCGUCCUUGUCUCCGCGGGAACGACGGGCCGGAUGACGGGGUCCCAGCGUCACUGGCUCGUGCCUACGGCGUCCCAUUGCGCCGUGGCAAGGCACGGACCCGGCGUGGCGCCGGACGCUGGCGGCGUGUCACGCGUCUGUCUGAGGCGUUUACACGCGUGGCCUCGCGAGCGGGUCUGUGCCUCUGUGGGAUCGCUUCGUCAGUUCCGUACCGUACCGCGGCGACGACCGAGGGCGCAGUGCGCCAUUCCUCGCAUCACGUGCCUGCCGGGCGCGGGAGGGCAUCGGCACACGUUUAAUCAGGGUGCGACCGACAGGCGCGAGGGGCUGAACUCGUCGAGACGGUCGCGACGGCAAGCGACGACGUGCUUUUCGCGUGGCGUGCCUUUCGUGAACCUUACGGCCAGGAGCAUGCAUGUAGGAAUUUCUUCUUGAACUAGCCCGUGUACGGGCAUGGGAGGAUUUAAUUCCGCAGACUGUGUGUGCCGAUCGAGACUUAACUGCGUCAAAGCACACCAUUCCGUGUACGUACCAUGUAUCUUCCUCGUGCGAUCGAUCAGUAUCUGUACCGCUGACGAAGGGCAGUUCGGCCGGCCGGGGAGAUUAAUGAUGUCUUAUCCUCUAAUAUAGUGGUAUGAGAUUGUAGAGGCUAGGAAACAUGAAACCAUGUGUAGCGUGCAGAUUCAGGCCAGCUCCGAACAGUUAUGUAUGCUUUCUUUUCUUUUUUGCGGGUAGUUAUGUAUGCUUUCAUGUCUAGGACACAUUUUAAGCUUGCUUCUAGAAAUCUAGAGUGGGCCGGGGUCCAGUUCAGGAAACGGCCAUGGCUAAGCGUCGUCUUUGGACUCCAUUUCUGAAGCUUCAAAACCAAGGGUGUGGGGUGUGGCCACAGUCAUUGUUAUGAAUCAGUGACUGGUCGAACAAAUAAGACCGCAGAUCAAAAUAAAAAAAAGAGUAUAUUUCUUAAAACCAAAUGUAGAUCGCUGUCGCAAUAAGAUGUCUCUUCUGAAUUGUUAGGAGUUACAUUUAUGUGUGUAUGAGUCUAACGUGUCACAAUCCUAUUUACUUUAUUGUUUUUGAAGCUUCGCAGACCUUCACGUCAUGGGUUCUCCUAAGCUUGUCAAAACGGAAAAUGUGGAUAUAGAAAAUGUACUAAUAUCUACAAUACCAAGUAAUUAAUUAUACUAUGAAGAUAUAUGUAAUUUAGAUUUGUUGAUGUUGAUAGAUUUUUUUAUAGGCUUGAUAAAUUUAUUUAUUUUACUUAUGAUGAAGUUAAAACAUCUUACUUUUAGAAACAGAGUGGGUGCUACUUUGAUAAAUCUGUUGCCACUUUUUACUUUACUAAACGAAGAAUCUGUAUUGGUUAAUCUGAGCAUCUCCAUAUUUUCAUUAUCCCAUUGCUUAAAUUUCCAGAUGGGGGUGGCAUCCUGGAUAUCUGUAUGGAUGCACGUAUCCAUCAAUUUUUUUAUUACUAAUAAAUUAUUUACAAAAGUUUAGAGUUUCAAGCAGGAAGAGAUUAAUAAUACACCAGGCUGAUAUAAGAGCCUAGCGCGAAUGGAAAAAUCUAUUACCAAACCGCCAUCUAAUCUAACUUCACAGGUUGUUUUAGUUCAAAGCAGAAACCUCUGCCGAAGAAGAAACGAAUGCAAUUCAUGCAGGACAGUGUCAUGGGGUCCAGGACUGAGCUCCAGAUUUGAGGAGAAUCUACAGACAAAGGUGCACAUAGACAAGGACGAACUGCUCUUAGGACAUGUGCUCGAGUUAUUUUGAAAAAUUCAAAAGCUGCGUGCAAGAAGGACAAAGAUUCCAAAUCAAGUCUUGCAUGGAUAUAUUAAAAUGAGCUAUGCAUCUGUAAUUUUUCAAGAGAAAAUGAAGUUACUUGUUGCUUGCAACAAAAUAACAAGAAUGGGGAGCUAAAGAAAUGGAAAGCAUAUUGAGUUAUUAAAUAGAGUGAGUUCCAAUUUUUAUCUCGCUAAGAAAGUUUAUGACACAUUUUACCAUAUUUAGCAAAACAUUCAUUUGUUUUACCCCAUUCAAGAAACUUUUGACAUAGUUUUUCCUUUUUAUUUUUUAUAUUACAUCUUAAUAGAGUGGCCACACAUGUCAGUCCAAUGUGGUGUCUCCACAUCGGAUGCGAUCUCUUAAAUACGUUCCCAAUUUUGUCAAGGGUCACCAAAAUUUAGGAAACUCUGCAAAUCAUUUUGGUAUUAUCUCGAGCAAAAUUCAAUAAAUUUAGACAAAUUUUGACCAAACUUAAAUUGUUGAUUGAAUUUAGUUAAACAUUUUGAGGUAGAAGUAAUUUUGGUAGCUAUCGAAAUUUUGAGCUUUGCUUCUGAUUCGGCAGGGGGCGCCCUCACCCGAGUUGUCUAAUCCAGACUAGCUCAUGGCCGACCACAUUGGGUGGCGGCACAUAGGUCAACUGACAUGUGGGACCACUUUGUUAGGAUUAAUUUUUUUUUCCAAAAAGUUAUGUUUGGUCAAAAUUCAUUUAAACGCAAUGAAUUUUUGUCGAGAUAAUGCAUUUUUUUUUGUACUUCUGAAAUUUUAAACCCUGAUCGGAAGCUUAUUCAAAGACAUGCAUCUGACAUAGAGACGCCACCUAGGCUGCUGUGUAGGGAACCGAUGGCCUCGCUGUUCAUAUGAACAGUUCUAAACUUCAUUCAAUCGCUGGAAGUGGGGGAACAGUAGCUUUUGAUUGUACGGAUCUGUGGCUGAUAUGUUUUAUAAGACCUUAAAUCGUUGUUUGAAAAUUAGUUUUUCAUAAGCGAGCAUGUGUGUCCUGAUGACCACUUCGUGGUUUUCGGCACUUAAAUCCAACUUUCUCUUCUCUUCUGACUCGAUCUUCACCGUCUUUUUGUGCCUGCCUCCCUCAAGAACUGCAGCUGGUACCCAGAUGGGAAGUACAUCCUCUAGCGUCUUAAUUAGUAAAAAAAAUGGAGCGACUUUCAUAGACUCUUAUUCCGCGCAUUUUCUUUGCGCAGCUCUGAAUCUUGGACGGUAUGGUUGUUAAGGAUCUGUUCAAAGAUAGAUCUCCCACUCUCUCUCUCUCUCUCACGCACAUGACACAUCGACUGCCAUCUGCUACCUCAUACCUGUCUUACAGUUACUGUAUGCCGUGGAGUUGUUGGUUUCGUUUGAUGACGGACGGGCACGUGGGCAAUGCCUCUGUUGCUGUGUAAGGCAAGUCCGCAGUGUCCUGUGCAGCGGAAGCCCAAGUUCGGGUGCUUCCAUGGUGCGCUGCACACUGUAAAGUCCCUGUCUCUGCCAUAGUGCCAUGCCACAGAAAGUAAGGAUAAUGUCAAUGGAAAAUAGUGCUGGUGUAAAUGUUGUUGAAAAACUGUGGAUGUGAAUAACAUAUGACGUGAGUGGCAGGGUUGAAAGGGAUGUUGUAGCGUACAUCAGGUUUUCUAUUUUGUUUUUCUCGCCAAUUUUUGGUAUUUGUUUUAGGAAACUUGGUCCCGCGUUCUCCCGGAAAUGUCAAGAGAGCUCAGAAACAUAUACAGACAUGCUUCAGGCCUUCAGCUCAAAGUUCCAAAUAGAGCGCCUAAGGGCGUGUACAAUAGGGACAUGGGGUGACGUCAGCCUUUUCUUAACAAUACCAUAUGGGAUAGAAUCCGACGUGAAAGAGAGAAAUUAAGAAAGGCGCAAGUCUUCUCUUAAUUAAGAGAUGACCUCUUCACAAGAAGUGUAAAGCAAAAAAAAAGACAAAUUUCCCAUCGAACUAGAUUUCACCUUUCUUAACAUUUAUUUAUUUAAUUUUAUUCAUCUAACCAUUAAUUGUAAGAUAAGACAAUAAGAGAUAACCUAUUGUACAAUAUGUUUUCAUGUCUUCUCUAAAUGACGUGAAACACCUAAGGAAAGAAUGUCUUAUGAAACAUCCUACAUGCCUUAAUACAACGGAGAGUACCAGGAUUAACUAUUUAACGAUACCCCAAAUGUACGUGCUAUUCCUAAAUCCGAGAUCAUCCACGAACUCGAACGGAGGCGUACUGCUAGUACGUGAAAUUGAACUCUGACGGUCAUAGUCACGAAAAUAUAUCAAUCAACCACACGGAGGGUUCCCAAAAGUUGCACAAAUUCAGCAUUGCGGUGCUCGAACGGAGGAGUGUAAGACAAAUCAAGUUCACGAUCAACAUACCAACAUGCCUUAUCCACACAUAUCCAGGUGGAGCAUCCCCAUAGGCCGCUCCUCCCGCAACGAAUCUAUUUCAUCCACUGCAAGUGAUCCACACCACGCGCGCCCCCACAACAAUCUGCCGGCUUCCAUCUCCUCCUCUCGUGUAAUCCACAACUCCACAUCAGCACGUGUCUCCGUCGACCCCCACGCACAACACCGGCCACGAAAUAAGAGAGCUAGCUUAGCCGCUGCCGGUGCUCCACACCGGAGACGUACGUACCACCAUAUUGCAGCCGCGAGCAGAACAACAGCUAGCUCACAUGGCCGCCGCCGCCUCCACCGUCUCCGGCCUCGCCGGCGCCACCCUGGCCCGCCGGCCAGCCUUCUCUACCAGUACGUGGAAAUGUUAAUUUUGGGUGAUCUCUACGUGUAGAUCGUUUGUGUGUCUUGAAAAAUGUUGGGUGAUCUCUACGUGUAGACUUCACGACGGGUGGCCGGGUGUCAGCGAGGAACCCCUUGAUGACGAGGAACCUGGAGAGGAACGGCAGGAUCACCUGCAUGACGUGAGUCAGCCAGCCAAGAAGCGACUCUGUUUUGUUUCGUAAUCGGCGGUCGUAUGCAUUGAAUUGCUGGGUCGCUGACAGAUGGUUUUGCUCUCUUCAGGUUCCCGCGGGACUGGCUGCGGAGGGACCUGAACGUGAUCGGGUUCGGGCUCAUCGGGUGGCUGGCGCCGUCGAGCAUCCCGCUCAUCAACGGCAACAGCCUCACGGGGCUCUUCUUCUCCAGCAUCGGCGAGGAGCUCGCCCACUUCCCCUCGCCCCCGGCGCUCACCUCCCAGUUCUGGUACAGAAAUUUAACCCGAGGAUCAUCGAUCACACAUUGGUUUUGAUUUAAUCCUGGUUGAAUGUGUAUUGCAGGCUGUGGUUGGUGACGUGGCACUUGGGUCUGUUCAUCGCGCUCACCUUUGGCCAGAUCGGGUUCAAGGGCAGGACCGAGGACUACUUCCAGAAGUAGUGGCUUAAUUAAGCAGCUAAAUUAGCUUCUGAUUAAUGCAGGCCUCGU